GAAAGUCCCUGUGUGUCAACCUCUGUGCUUCGUGGCAAGGUAGACUAGCAAACAUGCCCAACCUUUACUCACAUUCGAGAAAACACUCCCAACAAGAUUGCUUGCUCCAAAAUCGAAGAGGCACCGCCCUCCGAAUCUCGAGAGCCAGACUCCCAACGUGAUUACUUUCUCAAAAAUCGAAGAGACACUGCUCCCCGAAUCUUCGAGAGCCAGACCCCCAGCAUGAUUGCUUUCUCAAAAAUCGAUGAGGCAUCGUUCUCCGAAUCAAUCGAAGAGGCGCUCGCUUUCUCAAAAGCUGGGCUGCUCAAAGACCACGAGGGCCGAUCUCAGAAAUCGAAGAGGCACCUACUUUUCUAGCCUUGUCAGCACCUGUCACACGCACACUCAGCUUUGCAGAAAUUAUGGGCAUUCUGUCGAAGACUUCUGGUGAAGUAGAAAACACAUGAAUCUUACUGUUCAAUCACCCACUUCCCACACGCAACAAUAGCUCAUGGGUACCACAGAUAACUUUGCCAAAGUUCUCUGCCAAAGUUGAGCACGUGAAGCUUGCAGCUCCCACUACAUCGCUCUGACCAAGAAAGGUAAAAGAAUAGCAAAGAAACAGCACUAACAAAGUUUAGACACAUAAAUUUUGAAGGUCUAGCUACCAUAUUAUUACCCACAAGGGUAAAGGAACAGUACCACUGCUGGAUAAUUGGAAAGUCCCUGUGUGUCAACCUCUGUGCUUCGUGGCAAGGUAGACUAGCAAACAUGCCCAACCUUUACUCACUUUCGAGAAAACACUCCCAACAAGAUUGCUUGCUCCAAAAUCGAAGAGGCACCGUCCUCCGAAUCUCGAGAGCCAGACUCCCAACAUGACUACUUUCUCAAAAGCGAAGAGAGGGUAAAGGAACAGUACCAUUGCUGGAUAAUCGGAAAGUCUCUGUGUGUCAACCUUUGUGCUUCGUGGCAAGGUAGACUAGCAAACAUGCCCAACCUUUACUCACAUUCGAGACAACACUCCCAACAGGAUUGCUUGCUCCAAAAUCGAAGAGGCACCUGCCCUCCGAAUCUCGAGAGCCAGACUCCCAACAUGAUUACUUCCUCAAAAAUCGAAGAAGAGACACUGCUCUACGAAUCUCGAGAGCCAGACCCCCAGCAUGAUUGCUUUCUCAAAAAUCGAAGAGGCAUCGUUCUCCGAAUCUCGAGAGCCAGAUACCACAGACCACUUUUUCAAAGUGCUCUGACAGAGUUAAAACAUGUGAAACUGGCAGCUCCCACUACCGUGCUAUGACCAAGCAGGGUAAAGGAAUAGCAUUACUACUUGUUGUUAGGGAGACUCCUAUAUAUGUCGACCUCCAUCCCCAACGGACAGGCAGACCUGCAAAAAUGCUCAACCCUUCAUCAUAUCUGAGAGGGCACUCCCAACGAAGCCUUUCGAAAUAUUCAGCUUUCUUUCCCCCCGAUAAUACCUCUGCAAACAAGCUAUACUAGAGCAGAAUAUCUCAUAUCAUCAGGGUUAAAAGCAAGAGUAUCCCAUAUCAUGCUUUUUCCCUGUCUUUUCCUUUGGCCUUGUUUUUUACCUGCAAGACAAGGAGAAAGAGAGCAAUCAGUCAGCACUUGGAAUCAAGCUUCCAGCCAGGAACUGACUGCCUGGAACCCCUUACCUGAUUACUUACCUGGCAUUGCUCUCGAGUACUCAUCUUCAACAUCUUAUGUUUCCAGGGAAGAUUCCGCAUCUGCUUGAGGAACAGAUAGGGCAAGUGCGAAGGAUACAAGGAAGCAUGUGGAGACAAGCGUAACAGCACACGUGCCGAUACAUCCAUUACUCUGUCAAAAGCAAAAGUAUCCCAUAUCAGCAGGGUGGAACGUACUCUAGAUUUGAUGGACUUGUUUUGACCCUCAAAUUCUUCAGUCGGCCUUAUACUCUGGAGGAAACCAGAAAACCCUCCAGCUCAGUUCAAGAAUAAGCCUGUGGAAAGUUACUUCUUCAAAAGCAAAAGUAUCUCAUAUCAUCUCUUCUCAUUUUUUCUUCUCUUUAUCCUUCAUGCUGCUGCAAGAUGGGGAGAAGGUGAACAAUCAGUCGGAGCUCUGAUUGCUUACCUUGUCUGUCACCUCUUUCAGCAGACCCCCUAGCUCGGCGACUUGGGGGACUCCUACUACAUGGUUUGUAUCGCGCUUGACCAAGCCUGAAACUACAAGUAAGCUUCAAGUGAAAUUGAUACAUUACCUUGUGCAUCUCCACCAGUUAAAGAUACCACCCCUGGAUGGAGGAAGAGUACUUCCAGAGAAGAUGCCACAUCUACCUAUGAGACAGAUAAGGCAAGUCAAGACGACACCACACUCCGAUACUUAGAAGUUUCGUGAUUACGAGAUCAUUCUCCCACAAUAUUUCCUAAUGUCAUUUGUACUAAAUCAUUCACUUGUACUCACUAAAGGAGAGCUUGAACCUAUGUACUUGGUGUAAACCCUUCACAAUUAAUGAGAACUCUUCUAUUCCGUGGACGUAGCCAAUCUGGGUGAACCACGUACAUCUUGUGUUUGCUUUCCUAUCUCUAUCCAUUUAUAUACUUAUCCACACUAAUGAACGGAGCAAUCUAGCGAAGAUCACAAAAAGCGACCGUUUUCGCUACCUAGGAUCUAUCUUGCAAGAGAACGGAGAAUUAGAUGGAGAUCUCAACCAUAGAAUACGAGCUGGAUGGAUGAAGUGUAAGAGUGCAUCCGGCGUGUUGUGUGACCGUCGUAGGCCACUGAAGCUCAAGGGAAAAUUUUAUAGGACGGCAAUAAGGCCAGCGAUGUUGUAUGGCACAGAAUGUUGGGCGGUGAAGCAUCAACACGUACACAAAAUGGGUGUAGCGGAGAUGAGGAUGCUUCGUGGGAUGUGUGGGCACACGAGAAAGGAUAAGAUUGGGAAUGAGGAUAUCCGAGGUAAAGUAGGAGUAGCCGAAAUUGUAGGAAAGAUGAGAGAAAAUCGGCUCCGAUGAUUUGGACAUGUGCAAAGAAGGCCGACUGACGCUCCGGUUCGAAGAUGUGACUACGGGACAGAGGUUCAGGGCCAAAGGGGUAGAGGAAGACCUAAGAAAACUUUGGAAGAGACUCUAAGAAAAUACUUAGAGUACUGGGAUCUAACGGAGGACAUGACACAAAACCGAGCGCAAUGGCGUUCUAGGAUUCAUAUAGCCGACCCCACUUAGUGGGAAAAGGCUUUGUUGUUGUUGUUGUAUAGUAUUUACAAUUAAAUUUAUGAAAUCUUACUUGAGUUUGUUUAUUUUAUUUUAUUUUAAAAUAAACGAUAUUAUCUACAUUAAAAGGGUAAAAAAGUGGACUAAGCCUUAUAAUGGGAGGACAAUAAUAAUAUGAUUCAAAUUUUCUUUUGACGGAAAUCAAAUCUAAAAUUUUUCUCACUUAUAAAAAUGAAGAGAAAAUGAUGCAUACAUGUCAAGAAUAAGAGAAAAAUAACAAAGGAGAUAUUAUUUUGGCGAUAGCAGAUUCGUGCCCAGAGUGAGUCGCUCUGUUACACUGACGUGUAGCAUAGGAGAACUCUAAUGACUCCAGCUAUGAAGCUAACUGCCAAACUAUCAUAGUUAUAAAAAAAUGUUAAAAGCUAGUCGGACCUAGCUUUAGCAUCAAUCACAUGCGACUUAAAUGUUUAUUAAACAGCACUUUUAUGAUUUGAUGGAAAACAGAAUAAUCAAAAGGAUUUUCGAUAGGUAUCAUAUAAAGGCCAACUAGCCAAGUCCAUUCAAACCCAAUUAGCACGGUCCGAGUCAAAAAUUUCCAACAAAUCAAGGAUCCAAUUAUGGUAGGUAGCAUUUUCACAAUUACAUAAUAUUUCUUUCCAGUUAAUGCCACCAAGUAUUUUGCCCAUCCCUUUCCGAUUCUCAUUGUGAGGAUCAUACGGAUUGAUCAAUUAUAGUCGCUCACCACAUAUUUUGCAGUUAUAAAUCAUUGAAUUUUUAAUUCUUUCUCUAUGGCAUAAUGAUUUUCAACUGCAUAAUGUGUGGUGAGCGGUUAAGAAUAAUUGAUCCCUAAGAGUAAGAAUCCUCACAACGAGAAUUCGAAGAGGAUCCAGAUCCCAAACUAGGGAUGGGUUGAACCAUCUAGGUGAGGGGAGUGAGUCGAAGGUGUCCUAAAGCUUUAGACUAUUUGUUUGUGGCAAAUAAUCAUGGGAAAAUGAGGUACAUAUAAUUUAAUUAUCUACUAACGAUUAUAGGUGUGCUAAACUACCUUCUUAUCAAGUGAUAUUUAUCUGUUUCAAAUUCGAAUUCCCUCGCUAAUGAUCAUUUCGUGUAGAGGCGUUUAGUCUCUAUUUUAUUAGAGAAAGUUAUGUGUUUAAGUCUCAUGGUACGUAGUUGUCGAAUACAAAAAGUUUCAGUCCUCUCCUCGAUCUAUUGGAGGAAGUUAUCAUUGUCAUUCGAUGAUCGUUUUAAGUGUUUAAAACAGCAUGGUCAAUCAUUAAAUUUAGCAAUGCAUGUCAUAUAUUGAUUUAUGCUAAACUUUUUGUAAUAAAAAUAAAUUGUAAUACAUAGACAUCAAUUGAACAUGUAUUUGAUAAGGAUGCUAUCCUCUCCAGACCUUGGUGUCCAUAGCAUAAGGACCAAAAAAUCUGAACGCAUUUGGUUUGUGUGAAAGAGAAAUCGAAACCCUUAAUUUGUUUAAGGUGGGCCAGCGAAAUAAAUUAAUGAGGCCCGUCAGAUUCAAUUUGAGUGGUCUGACUUGCGUGGUCCUUCGGCUCUGGAUGAUGAAAUUCAGAGUGGAUCUUUAUCCUCCCUUGUAAACUUUAAACAAAAACUCAAUACCACACAAUACCACUCAUGUUUUUUGUUACUCUUAAUUAUUUCAAUGUAUAAGAACGAUGAUUCAAAUUCGAGUAUGAUGAGUUGGACACAUUAUUUUUAUAAUAUGGCUUAACUCGCAUUUGUCAUUGCUUCAAUUUAUAAAAAUGAGAAUUCGAAUUAAUGAACAAGAAGUCGAGCACACUAUCAUGACGAACUGAAUUAAUCCAAAUUUACCACACAUAGGUAAUUAUUGUGAAACAUUUUGGUCACAAGAAACCAAAAAAAGCAAGCCAAAUCAAGGAAUUGGGAAAAAAAAAGAAACAGUUGUUCAGGUAUAUUGCGGAGGCCGCCCUUGUUUGGUCUCUAAAACCCUCCUAAUACCCCUUUCUUCUUCCACCACGAUCAACACACAGUGAGUGAGCUUCACAAAUCUCAGAAAAUGGUGAACAAACCAUGGAAGAUCAUCCCCCGGCCUUUGCUAGAAACCGUGCUCAACAACCACGCCCAGCACCACCGCGUCCCUCAGCCUCUGAUCCUCCACGGCCCCAGAGGCGUCGGCAAAACCACCCUCAUCCUCGAACGUAAUCACCCUUUUACUAUCUCUCUCUCUCUCUCUCUCUCUCUCUCUCUCUCUCUCUCUAGAUUCUAACACUUCGUCUUUCUUCAGGUUGCUUGGGGAGUGGAACAAAGGCCCUCACCUCACCGGCUACGUCGACUUCGCCGAGUCCAUCAAAGACCACCAUCCGCAGUUCAAUCAGUCGUUUCCAUGGGCUUCAUGGUCCAAUUGCCCCCCGCCCACUUUGCCCAAUUGCCGAACCAAGCUCGAAAACUGCCUCGAAUCCAUGGCUCACAAGGGCGUCCAGCUGGGUUCCAUCAGCUCCCAUCAAAUCUUCUCCACUCUCAGCAAAUGGCACGGUCUUAACACCGCCCUUCGUCGCGUUAUUGCCGGCAAUGGUGCUUCCAAGAAUGCGGUUUCUGAGAAAGUUUCCGGGUCGGUUUUGUGGGAUCGGGCGGUGUUCGCGCUAAGUGCUCGAUGUAAUGCCCAAGAGAUUGAUGGGAUUUUGGGUUUGACUGAGAAGAAGAAGAAUGUACCGUUGGAAGAGGCUUCGUAUUAUAGGGAGGCCGUUGUGGCAUUGAGAUUGGCAAAGGAGGUGAUUAAGCAGCAGCAAAGUUGGAGGGCUAAUGCCAUUGCACAUUUGAAUCGGACCGGUGGGUUUUCGAGGUCUUUGGCAAAUUCUAGUACUGAUUGGCCUUGUUUGUUGUUGGAGUUGUUGUCACAAGCAGCUGAAAUUGAUCAUUUCCAGGUAAUAAAGUUCACAUUUUUCGGUAGUGGAAUUAAUCGUAAGCUAUGUUCAGCAUACAAGGCUUUGUUCUUAAGUUCUAAUCAUGCUUCAAAUUAGGUGUGUAAAUUUGAGGACUUUGAUUAGUGUUUUGUGUUUAUAUGAAUCUCCAAUUGACUGACGGUUGUUAUUAUAUGGAGCAGCCUAAGCUGGUUAUUAACAAUGUCGAAGUUUUAAAGAAUGCGAUUCUGUUGGAUGAGAAUUCAUCAGUCUGUGGAUCCAUGUACCAUGACAGUCUAAUAUGGGAGAAUAAUUGCUUUAGGUGCAAAUGAGAGAUGCUUUCCUGUUGUACUCGUGACAUCGGAUAGGUGAGAAUCAUUCCUAGCCAUUUGUGUUUCUUUAACAUCAUAUCACUUGUACAGUUUUAUGUCACAAGUUGAUAAUUAACCUUUUAAACUUCUGCAACUGCCCACUUUUCAAGUUAUUUUCUUGCUUGUUUGAAUUCUAAUUUAUGUUGCUUUGUUUCAGUUACUAUUCAUAUCAAGCUUACAUGGAUUUUGGAUUUCCGGACAUAUUCAUCUCUCGUGAGGUAUUUAAACUGAGACUCUACAUGUGUUUGCAUUUGCCUUUACUUCAUUGACCAAAAGGAACAAACACUAGUUAUUCUUUUCUGCUGUUGACAUACUAAUACCUUAAGCGUGAAGCAUGAAGCAUGGGAACAUUUGUUGAGUGACUUGCAUUGUGUUCAAUUCCUUAUUUUUUGGGACGUGGUCUUCUAGAUUUGAGUUUUUGUUUUUUAAAUUGUAUCUGCUACAUUUUGUGCGUGGGUAUGAGUCCGUAGUGUGUUCUUGCCUUGUAUGAGCUUAUCGUGUGACUGUUCCUCUCACAACCCAUUGAAAAUGUUGAGCCCCCUGCCAGGCACGACACAACUUAGACUGUCAUGUCAUUGCGGGGCCUGUUCUAGAAGUGUCAUAUUCAUGUUCGGAAUAUUGUGAGGAUACUGGGGGUUAUCAUGGGUUUAAACUUGGUUUGUUCUGCAGGCUUUUGGCUGGAGUCCCCAGGAAGCUAAGUUGCAUAUGGUUAAUGAUUAUUUCAGUAAUUCAGAGGUAAUACGCUUCUCUAAUUUUGAAUAAACAUACUUUGAAGUACAGUAAAAUUGGGCAGUGGCAAAUUAAAAUCCAUAGGGUUUCCUACUAAUUCUGAAAUUAGGUCCAUCAGAUUUCCUAAUGAUUCUUCAUUUUCUUGCCAUAUUUGUUUUCUUUAUAUCACAAAAUGCUGGACAUUUUCAUGACCUUUAGCAUUAUUUUUGUCAAAAUUCAGUGGUCGGUGAUUGCUGAGGUGUUUGGCCCAAACCCACGACACCUAUUUGAGCUCUAUGCACUCAAGCAGGCCAAUUACUAUCAACAGUAAGGCUGAUAUUUAUAUUUGUUUUUUACCAUAUCAUAUCAUGUAGAUAUAUGCCACAUGUACUAGAAGCUGAAUACGUAAGUGAUGUGCAUCACGUCUUAGAUAUAACUUCAACUAUGUUAUCUGCGGAUACCUCUUUCAUCUUUGACACACAUUUUCAUCAGUCACAGUUGAAAUCAAGUAAUAUAACUUUGUCAUAAAAAGGGAAGUGUAAGGGCAAAGGCAAUAUCUAUGUCUACUUCACCAAUCAACCUGUCCCUAAUUUUUCCAAGAUUGAUGCUACAUGGUUAAUGACUACUAUAUUUGUAUAUAGUUUUAAAUAGUACAUAAAUACCGUUUUUGUUCAUCUGAAGGUUAGAAGACAACAAAGAUAGCACGUUUGAAGACAUUGUGGAUUCAUAUUUAGCUUAUUUGCAAGUAAGUUUUUUUGGAGCAUGAUGCAUCAUACUCAUUGUCCUUGUAAUUUCAUGAACCUUUGUUGUCCUAUUUACAUUUUGGUUCAUUGAUAAGUGUAUGGAAGUCUCAUGAUAUAUUACUUGCAAAUUCACCUUGUUGGAAUUUCGGUUCACUUCAUCAUAUUCUUGAUUUCCUGGACUAAUGUACGCACUAACCUGGCCUGUUAACAACUGUGGUUUAUUGUGCACCUUGUGCUGCCUUACUUGCUAUUCAAGUCUAUUCAUUUAGAUUACUGUAGUGAAUCCGGCCAUGGACAAAGCUCUGGGGCUCCUUCAAAAGUUUGCUGCUGAUGCACGAAGUGGAAAAAUUUCAAAAGAUAGACUACGCUUUGGGGCACCUUGGAGACAUCCUCCACCUAAAAAUAAUCCCACCAUGUGCCUUGAAUGGGCAAAGAUUCAGCUGAUGGAUUUUGUGCAGUCUCUAAUCAAUACAGAAUUUGGAGUACGUAGUCCAUGGUUUCUUGUUUUAUUUAUGUCUUGGUAGAACUACUAGUUAUGCGCAGUAAAAAUUUGUGUUAACCAUUUGCUAUGUGCUGGGUGCACUCAUAUUUCUUAUGGCUUAGACUUCAUUUCUCAGAUCUAUAAUACUGUUUUCAAGAACUUUUUACUUGGGUGCAGAUUAAUUAUCUAGCUGACUGUAGCCUUGAGAUCAUGGACGAUCCUUCUGCUGGUGCAUUGGUGGAGGUAGAUACGUCUCUUCAAUUUCAUUCAUUUGCAGACAGAUAAGCAUUGCAAUAUUAAUAUUUAGCUCAUGCAUUUCUUAUCAUUUCUUAGGUUGGUUUGCUGUAUGCUCAACGGGAUCCGUCCAUCAUUCGCCCCAUAUCUAGAGGCAUUCAGCGGUGUAUUGUAAGAUGGUAAGCUAUUUUUCUUGGACUGAAGGUACAAGAACAUGAUCAUGAAGCUCUGUCUGGUCAGUUAUGCAGUUAUUUGAUUUCAGGCUUGUCCAAGAACGGAUGCAGAUGAGUUUCCCUAAGUUUCUACAAUAUAAAUGGCAGCGUAUUAUGCGCGGUCGGAGCUAUCGCCAUUUGAUGCUACAAGUAGGCUAUAAGUAGAGCAUAAGAGAGGUAAACGGUCUAAAUACUAAAAUUGUUGUUUAUUCAAAUUCCGUGUCAUGGUAAAUUUUAGUUUGUCAGCUUUACUACUCAAGGAGAUGAGCAUAACAAGAUUAUCUGAUUGACUUUUUCGGCUGUCUCUAGGCAAACACACCUUUUAAUUUGGGAGUAGCCCCUGCUUCGGGUUCGCAUAAAUAUGUAAGUAAUUCCUGAUAGGCAGCACAACCACACUUAUACACAGGCAGCACCAUUUGUUAAACAUCGUUGUAGUUAAGCAUAGUUUUCUGCAUUGUAAUCCCUUUGCAUAGUCCUGCUGUAAUACAUUCCUCUAUAGUUAUAUACCUCCAUUUCCGGGAUUCUUUUGCUUCUUUCGAUUCCCCUUUGACAACAAACACAUUGAGACUUUGUUUUUCCCAAGUUUUUACAGAGCGCGGACACUGGUAAAAUCUUCAAAAGCUGAUUUCAAGGAAAGUUGGUGUCUAGUAAGAAUCUCUUUCUCAUGCUAAUCACAACUAUUUCUAUGUCACUAUGAUUGAAUAAUGAAAACAAGUCUAAAUGUAAUGAAUGCACUCAUUUGGAAGUGCUUUAAAAUGGCUGAAAGCGGUUUUGGUGAAAAAGUUUUUGGAACCAAUCCUCAGUAAAAACGCAAGUGAAUCCUGAAAAAACACUUGAAGUGCUUUUGGAACCCAAAAACAAUUUCUUUUAAAGCGCUUUUAGUUGUUUUAAAAGCAUUUCCAAAUGAGCCCUUAGGCUUUGUUAGCAUAAAACAUGGCAUAGUCAUUCGUUUGCUUGUCUCUCUUUCGCAAUUCCGUGUCAGCAUAACCAUAACUCUAAGCUUCUUCAUGUGCAGGAUAUGCUAUGGAGCAACCCUUUGUCAAAGAUUUAAUUUUUGAAGACUACCAACAGAAAAUUUUGAUAUUUGGAGAUGCGUAGAGCAUAGCUUGAAGUGGAGUAUACGGACCAGCAUUCUCAUGAUUCAUAUUUUUUCAACACAAAUUAAAUAGCAAAGAAUAGAUAGAGCUCCAAUGUAUGUUUUAUGUCACACAUUCAUGAGGAAAUUGGUUCUAGUUUUUUAUCGAACUCAUCAUUUACGAGAUUCGAUCACUUACAAGUGAAGAAGAUGUCACUAGAUCGUACUACUAAGUAACAAUGCAAUAAUUUAUCCUUCUAUCUAUUCAAUGCUUUGGUCCAAAACAACAAGGUCCAACAUCUUGUCAGCUCAUUGAGUUUUGACCAACGUAGAGACUAACUCAUUAAACCCUCAUUUUGUAUGGGCUUACAUUUACGAGAAGUUCUUUGGUGCGGUCGCCUCAGAACAAUUGUAAGGGGGUGAGACCUCAGACCCUAGUUGACGAGGUCUCGCUCCCUGCUAAAUGUGCUACCUACCGAGGCAGCCUCAGCUCAAAAUUUCUCUUCAUUUACACUUUGGCUAAGAUUUCAUUUCUUUUAUUUAUCUCGUCACCAAAAUAAAUCUUUAUACUAAAAUCAAAUUUCAAUUUUACGUGUACAUGGGCUCAAGAUCAAAUUAAUGCAUAAUUUAUUUUUUUUUUGAAAAUUUUAUUUGAACCUAUUUACCUUGUCUCUACACUUAACUUAACAACUUAUUUAGUAAAAUUCCAACUUUGCCUGAAAUAAAUUAAAAAAAAUUAACAAUUAGAACUUGUAGAUGGCUUCCUCAACCAUCGGGGAAACCACAAAGGAGUGGUGGUUUUCACGCUACCCACCAAAACAAGACACUCUACCCACCAAAACAAGACACUCUACUUUUUCCUGGUGAACACAAUCGAAGCUCCGACGAAUUCAAUCAGUCCUCUCAUCUCUCUCUGUGCGAACUUGGAUCAAAUCAAUCGGGAAAGAGAGAGGUGGAUGUGAAUCUCUAUAUAUGAGAGGGCAAAAAUGGUGAAUCAUUCAUAAUACCAAAUUUUGCACUUUCUUUAACCAGUUUUCCAAAAUAUUAAAAUUGAUUAGUUAGGGUAAAAAUUGAUUAGUGUGUGGUUACUGUCAUUUGUUAUUUUUAAUAUUUUAAUAAAAAAAUAGAUCCAACAAAAAAAAAGAGAUUUAUUUUUUAUAACAUAAAAGGUCAAUUGACACAUGUAUAAGUGUGUGCAAAGAGGCUAGUUGGUGUUAAAAGGAGAAAGGUACAUAGCCAUGUUCGAUGCCGAUGCCUACAACCGCCAGAGUAUAGUGCUUUAUUUUCUUCUUAAGGUCAGAAAAGGAAGGAGGAGAAACGUAAGGAAAAGAAUCGAAGGAGCUAACAAUUGUCGACGACCACGGGGAAUAUUUUUGCCGAUGUUUGGUUUUGGUUCGCCCGAAAUAAUGAAAAGGUGCAAUUGUGUGGUGGUUUUAGGUUCUUGGAUGUGUAGGGAGAAAAACACCCGUCUUUAUUUACUUUUUCUCAUUUAUUAAGGGCAAAAUUGAGAGGUUAGUAGAGAAAAUUGUUUAGUUGCAUGUAGAGAAAAAAUAAAUGGGUCUAAAUAAUUUUUUUUAAGACAAUAUAAGUUCAAAUUAAGAACUAUUGCAUGAGGAAAAUUACUAGACCAAACACAAAGCUGAUUAUAAUUUUGUUCUAACAUAGCGAAAGUAUGUUAUAUGUAGCUUCUCGAAAAAUAUCGUUAUUAACGCAUAGAGUUGUUUGUAUGUUAAAACUUCAUGGAAAGAUUUUAGAAUCUCAUUCAACAUAUUCCAUCUUGAAAUUUGAUUAUGGAAAACGUGACCUUAUUACCAGUCAUAUGUUUGAUUAAAUCUUGAAGAAAAUUCACCAAGGUUUACAAAUCAAAUAUUGUUCAUCUAACUCCACCCACAUUGUGAAUCAAUCUCCAUCGUCCAUUCCCAAGUUCAAACUUUCUUGGCGCAUGGGAACUGUUUGGUCCCUCCUAAAAUUGAACCUUAUUUUGUCCCCAUAAUGAUCCGUGACCAUUGGCUAACUAGUCACACAUCAAAACCACGACCCAAAAGAGUCAAAGUCAUUUGCUUUAUUUGAUUCUGUCUCAAAAUACGUCAAUUCAAAUACUUAACAUGUCACACGAAGUUUGCAGGAAAGCUCCCCAAGAAUAUAUUCGACAUUUCUGUGCUUGUCACGUAAACUAAUGAUCAUUUUAACAAAUUGGAAUUGAAAGAAUUGGGGCAGAUACAUUGCAGACAGCCACCUUUCCUUCUUUGUGACUAGACAGAUAUCGAUCUAAUCAAAUCUAUGCUUUAUGAACCUCACCACAGAAAAAUUUCCAGUCUUUGUAAGUUGACCAGCUUCUAUAUGCAAUGCUUGCUUCUUUUUCAUUACAUAUGCCCCGAUGAUAUCAAUAUGUUCAACGAAAGCCAUAUAUAAUUUGGCUUCUUACAUCCACAUCUUUCACCUUUUAUCCACGAUCUUGCACCUUUUCUCUCUUUUUUUUAGCCAAUUAAAGAAAAAUCAAAUAUUACAUAACUAAACAGACGAGGGCAAAAGGUCAAAUACUUUUCUUAAUGUAAUUCACCAUGUGAUUAAACUAUUAUUAUCAUAGAUAGGGAAGAUAGUCUACACAAAUCAGUUAGUAUGCCACGAUUGCAGUCAUGGUUAAUACUCAAUACCCUAGUUGGUCAAAAUUCAAUAGUCAAAGCCACCCAUUAUUUUUCCGUUUUUUCCCUUUUCUUAACCACUAACAAACCAGAAGAACAUAUAUUAUAUAAGUAUAUAGCCAAUAGCCACCCAUGCAUAUAUGAAAUACUAGUACAAAUAAAUAGAAAAAUUGACUAUUAUUGAUAUCACAUGUAUCACAUUGAUGGUAUAUAUUAUUGACAUCACAUGCUCUCACGAACCCUAGAAUUUGUUAAGUAUGAUAACUAGCCCUUCGUAUUAGAAAAUGUUCUUGUACAAUGAAUUUUCCUUGGUUGAUGCAACAUAAGUUACGUAUGUAGGUGCAGGGGCAUAGUUAAAAAGUUAGAUUAUCUGGGGCACAACUAAGCAGUGGUCGAUGUAGAUUCUCGUAGAACCCCAAAAGCAGCAGGCAAAGUGCCAAAAACUUUUUAAGUUCUUUUAAGUGAGACAUUUUAUCGAAAACUUGUAUAACCAGUACUCAUUGUAUACUUAACGUACAUCCCCAUCCUUUUUUGCCAUUUUAAUUGUAUCAAUAGAUCAAUAUUGGUAUAGUCCACAAAGAGAUAAAUCAUAUAGACUUUACUCCAAUUUCUUCUUUAUGGACUAUAACACUAUUGAUCUAAAGAUAUAAUUAAAAUGGCAAAAAGGAUUAGGACCGAGUGAUACAAUUUGUGGUGGUGGUGAGUUUAUUAUUAUUCACCAUAAUUCGACUCGACGUCAUACCAAGCACGGAAGGAAUCUGCAAUUUAACAGGGCUCCUGCUCAAACCGCUUUUUAAGGACAAAAACACAAGUGGGGCACGUGCCCCGCUGUGGCCCUUAUUAAGAUUUCCCACAUUUGAUCGCUAUGGAGCUGAUAACCUUUUCGUUUAUUUGCUGCAACACGCAAGUUUUGUAGAGAUUUCCCAACGUGAUCACGUUCAUAGCUCAUGUGAGAGAGUCAGAUAUACAAAUUUAAAGAAUUGAAAGUGAGAAGAGAGUGAAAAUUUGAGACCUCUUCUAACACCGAAAAGAAAAGCAUUGGUAAGUUUCACGAAGAAGAGGAAGACGUGACUAAACAGAGAAUGGCUAAUUAGGUCAAGCAAAACUACUGCGUAGGGAAAGAGUUUAGCGUGAUUGAGUGUGAUAUGGCGUGACCUUCGGGUUCGAGUUUUUUCGUACAUUAAUUUACCAGUUAAUAGUCAAUAGUCAUAGUUUUGAACCAGGAAUAAGAUUCCCAAAAUUUCUUACUCCAUUUCCAAAUGACAUAAUUAGGUUCAAGUUCAAGUCUGAAACGUCUACUUUUAAACUAGCUAGCUAAUUAAAAUUUAAAUCCCAGAAAAAUAGAACUCAAACUUACAGGAGCAGAUUAAAGAAUGAAAGUGAGAAAAAAAAUUACAUAGGUGUCGAGAAUGCUAAAUAAAAUAAGAAUAACCCUAAGAAAAUAGCACCGUUGCAAUUACUUCUUUGUUAUCGAUCAUCUUGAUAUGUUAUCGAUGCUCUAGUUAACAUAAAUUGAGUAUACAUAUGUUAUCGAUACUAUUUGAUAAUAACACUACAAGAAAAGUUUUUAAUAAUUACUAACAUUAGUUGUACAAAAUGAAAUUACUAAAGCAUUUAGGGGUGGAUAAGCCUUUACCAUAAUAAUACUGUGUAUACGUUGUCAAUUUUCCGUAAAUUUUUUUGCCACUAAAAUGAUUAAUGGUCCAAAUGCAAGAUGCGAUAUCUUCUCCAUACAUGUCCACGUUUUGGUUUAGCUCUUAGGAUCUGUCCCCAUCCUAUUGCAAAUUUUUACAUGAAUUAAAAGAAAUCCAAUAAGUUGAAAAAUCUCAUUCCACAAGUAGAAGCUUUCAAAUUAAUUUCAGUGGACAGGACCUGCAGAAGAUGCACAAAGAACUCACGAACAAUGUGGUGGGAUAGGAGCCACAUUUUUCAUCAAUUAAUCGAUCAUAUCACUUGCUGUUGCCACCAAUUAUCAAUAUGCAUGGCAUGUGCAAUGCUUUCCAAACGGGCUUGUUUUGUUGUAUCCGAAUGCGGUUUGACGCAAAACAUUACUUUAUCCCAUUGAGUGCCAUAGCAUUUACCGACCAUUCACGUAGGAUUGCUUCCCAUAAACUAAUACUUUGAUUACUUUACACUUUAUAAAAGUAGUAAGAGAUAAUAUUAUAUUUGGAUGGUACCAUGAUCAUGGGUGCAUUGGAUUGUGAAGGGAGCCUAAUUAAAGGGACUUCCCAAGCUUACAAGGAUCACUCAAUCUGUCUUCCACUAGCUAUAUACCUACUAAGUUUACUUAUAAAAAAAAACACAUCGAGUGAUGAAAAAACCAAAAGAAAAAAGAAGCUAUAAAUUUAUAUUUAAAACCGGUGUCAAAGUUGCUUUAGAAACUCAAUUUUAUAGAAGACGUAUUGAAUAAAAAAUUUACCUCAGAGCCAUGCAUGACAGAUUAUGGUUAAUAUCAUGUCUCGUAUCCUCACCUCAACUGACUAGCACUUUCUCAUUUCUAUAUUUAAAGCUAGAGAGUCUCAAAGUUAAUUAACUUUGAUGUGAUAAAUUGAAGGUUACAUUAUCUAAUGGUUUCAUGCAAGAUUGGCAGAAUUUGAUUGGCCGCUGAGGUCAGAUCAGGUGAAUACUAUUAUAUGCUUUGGAGGUAUGGGACUGACUCAACCUGUUGUAACUUGUAAUAUCUGAUCUACCUGAGGAGGAUGUCUUCUUGUCAUGUACAGUGUAGUUUAUUUAUCACUUUAUUGAAUGAAAUUUAUGCAGUUUCCUAAAAAAAAAAAUUAUAGUAUUCUGUUGAGUAUAACCCAAAGAGAGAACAAGAAGGGAAAUAUUUUUCUUUUAUUGGCUCUUCUUAGUAUGCAUAGUAAAGUUUUGGGUAAAUUACACAAAACUACUUUAAUUAUGGGUUGAACGACACUAUCAUGCCUUAUCUUUCAAAAUUGACAAUGUCAUACCUCAUCUUUAGAAUUUGUUCAAUGUUAUACCUCUGUUAGCUUGUCUGUGAAUUUCUCAGUUAAAUGCUGACGUAGUUUGAUCCAGGGCCCAGUUCCUUGCCCAGAUGAAUUCCACGUGGCACCACACCUAAUGUUUUCCUGCUAAAAUGGCAUCCACGUUAGAAAAUAUAUUUGAUUUUUUUGUUUGUUGGUAAUUUGAAUUUCAAAAUUUGAAAUUUGAAAUUCACUUUCCCGCCAAAAUGUGAGAAAAAGGUCAGGAACCAUUUUAAGCACAGACUAUCAUCCUUGACCUCAAAUUUGAAAAAUCUCACCCAAAAAUAAUGAUAUAACCACAACAAAACAAGUAUAUUCAAGCACAAACUACUCAUCAUUUCCGAAGAAAAAUAUGAAAUAGACCAAAUUAUGCAUAAAACCUGCUUAAUUAUCCAUAAAUUAAUAAACCUGUUAAAAAAACUAAUUGAAUUCAUCUAACAUCUCCAACCAACAUUACGAAACCUACUGAAUUCAUAAAAACCUACUACAUCAUCCAUUCAAUUCACAAAAGACGUACUAGAUGCAUAAAGCCUAUUCUAACUUUAGAAUUCCUUUACAAAAAACAAUCAUCUGUGCAAAAAACUGUUGGCUGGAUUGGUUGGUAUUUAUGUGCUUGGUGCCUUUGGAUGAUUCAUUUAUUGGUUUGCUUGGUCUUUAUAUGCUUGGUGCUUCUAGGUGAUUUAGCUACUGAUUGUGAAGCCUAAAUCCAAAGUUCAUUAAGAGACAAAGCAAGCUUUUAACUAAAUCCAAAUGUUUUACAACUAAGGAAAUGGUUAAGUUUUUACCUGUGUUUUCCUUGUCCUCUUUUUAGGUGUAGAUGUGGAUGGUGAUUGUCCUUGUGAGCAGAUAUGGAUGCCUACAAAGCAAUUUAAAGGAUUAAGAGUCUGAUAUGAUGUUAAAGGAUUUAAAAAACCACAUAAAGUAGAAAAUGUUACCUGUUUGUCCUUUGGAUGAAGAUGUCUAUCAUGGGUUCUUGCAUUAUGACAUUCCUUUUUGCAUAUGGUACAUUUCAAACUACCUUACCCUUUCCUUCCUAGCUUAAGUGGCUGAGGAGGACCUUGAAGAUUAUUGGUUGGGUUUGUGAGAGUUUGUUCACCCUCAUUGUCCUUCUCAGCAGCUUCCUUGUUUCUUCUCCUCCUCAGCCUUCCAGGUUGCCUUGUAUAUGUAUGAGGCAAUAUUAGUGGGUUUUCAGUUUCCUCCCACAAAGACAUCCCAUUCAUCAACAUUACUAAAUGAGAAUACACCUCCAAGUACCGUGCCUUCGAAUAAUAAGCAUCGACAUAGUCCAUCGGUUUUUUUUUCUUGAAAUUUAUGGCCGCUAUUGCAUGGUUGCAUGGGAUUCGUGUCAAGCCAUACUUUCUGCAAGAACAUGUUUUCUUAACCAAGUCAACCACAUAUUGCUUCCCCUUUCCAACAUCUAGGGGUGGGCACUUAGAACCGAAAACCGAAACAGAAACACGAACCAAAUCGAACCGCACCGAACGGUUUGGUUUUGCGGUUUUGAAACGGUUUCGGUUUUGAAACCAAACUGCAACAUAGAAAACGGUUUGGUUUUGGUUUUGGCUUUUGAAAACCGCACCGAAACUAAACCACACCGCAAAUAUUAAUAAACAUUUAAUUAAAUGUCCAUAUUAUAUUUCAUGUUUUAAUUGGUUGUUUGUUAGAAUCCAUACACUUAGUAUGAGACUCAACCACACUAGAAUAUCAUCAUUCAUCACUUUCUUUCGUUCAUUAACUUGAAGGACCUUUAUUAUUUUAUACCAUCACACACACAUAUAUGUACAAGGGUGGACUAAUCUUGUUAUCAAGAGUUGAACAAUGAUCUAAUGAAGUCCACUUAUUUGAAGCAUGAUAUCACAUAUUCUAGUAUCAAAGUUUCGCUCACGUUUAAUGAAUUCAAAUUUAUUCAACUUGUUUUAUGAUAAACAUGGUGAGGGACACCCUUUUGUUGCACAAACAUGUUUUAACAUCACAACUGCAUGCAACAUGUUAAUUGUUUACAUAACAAAUGUCUUUUUCUUAUUGCUAUUGGGAAAUGCUUAUUAAUAUGUUAAAUUGCAAAUUGUACAUUUUUUCUUAAAAACCAAACCGAAACCAUUUGAAACCGCACCGAACCGAACCAAACGGUUUGGUUUCAUUUUGGUUUUGGCUUCAAAACCGCACCAAACCGAACCGCAAAAAAAUUCGGUUUCGGUUUUGGUUUCACUUAAAACCGCACCAAACCAAACCGUGCCCACCCCUACCAGCAUCAACUUGAAAUUUAGCGCCCCCUAACCAUUGUGCAAUGCACCUGCCACUUUGAAUUUUGGCUUCCUCCAACUUCUUCUUGAUUUUAGGACAGAGAUCUCCAACCUUGUUCACCAUUAUAUCCCUUCUCAUCUGAAUUCUCUUCAUCAAAAGUAUGUGAAUAAGGAGUAGCAUGGUGACAAUAGGUUUUUGUCUUGGCACAAGUAUGACAACAUUGAAACUUUCACAGAGAUUAUUCAGCAACAUGUCACACUUGAGAUAUGUUUCAAAAUGGGACUUGCUCCAAUGAUGUGCAGGCUUCUUCACCAACCAAUUGUAGGCCUUUUCAUCUGGCUUCUUCAUAUCCUCCAUUGCCUUUUGAAGCGGGGAACUGUUGUUGUUCUGACCAUUGACCAUAAAGCAUCCUUCAAAGUUUUCCCCUUGAACAUAUUUCUGAAGUUGGUAUACAAAUGUUUCACACAAAAUCUGUGGUGGGAAUUCGGGAGGACUUUUUUAAAGGCUGGAAUUAACCCCUUUUGUUGAUCACUAAAUGUCCAUCCCUGUUGAUUGACAAAUCCCAACAUUAACGGCCGGUAACUCUAAGAACCAAAUCCAAUUAGAUUUAUUCUCAAUUUCUACCACUGCAUAAGCUAUAACUCAUGUUUCAUCAUUUGGAUCAAUCCCAACAUCACAAAAUAGCUAACCUCCACGUACACUCUUUAAAUGGCACUCAUCUAAUCCUAUCAAUGGUCUGCACCCUGACUUAAACCCUUCUUUGCAAGCCCCUAAGCACACAUAUAUCCUUUGGAACCUCUGCCUAUCCAACUUCACCUUCACAGUGCUUCCAGGGUUAGUCUUCUUCACUUCCUUAGCAAAAUCCCACAACUUUGUGUAUUGCUCUGCAUGUUUUCCCUCAAUGAUCUUCAAAGCCCUAUCUAAAGCCUUGUAAGCCUUCCUCUUUGUACAACCAUGAUUCCACUCUGAUUCGACAGUUGCUAAAAAGAAAUCCACAUGCUAUGUGGGAUUAAGUUUUAUCCUGUCCAUGUACAAAUCCGUCAGCAAAGAGGACUUCAAGUUCUUGUUUGCCCAAGUUCUCCCACAGGUUUGUUCAUCAAAUAUGGUAUUGAUUCGUAUGCUGUUUGAACUAUACAUUUUUCCAACACAACACUUCCAAGGGCAGCCUUUUGCACACUUUACUAUGACUUUCAACUUCUCAUUCCUAAGAAAGUGGAUUUCCCCAUAUCCAUUCACUAGGGAGUACAUGAUAACAGCUCGCUUGAAUUGCACAUGAUCCUUGAAAACAAGCCCUAGUGUAAGAGUGGGAUUUUUCAUGUUUGUUUUCUGAUUGAACUAUGGAAAACACUUAUGUUUUUUUGCGUCCUUCAUCAUCUAAAGAGUGUACACUCUUAAGGGCAUCAGAGUUAUAGUCUGAAUCAUCAACCACAUUUUGUUCCAGAGUUGCAGUAUCAAAUUCUUCUUCCCGUUGCUCUUCUUCUUUUUCCCUAGUGUAAAGGUCAUAAGUUACCAUGAUGCAAUUUAAUAGAUAAUAGUUCUGGAUAUACUGAAAUUCACAAAAACAAACCCUAAUUAAAAGCCAACAAUAAACAAAAGAAAUUGCAUUUUAACCUAAUCAGAAGCCAACAAAAACCAAAGCACAACAUUCUUCACAAAAGAAAGCACAUGACUAAGAAAAGCCAAAUCAUACACACUAUAUGCAAUUAACCAUUUCUUGACAAGAAUAAACAAAGCAAUAAAGCAACAAACCACAACAAAUAACCUUAUCUUGACAAGAAUAAACAAAGCAACAAGGCAACAAACCACCUUAUAUCGACAAGAAUAAACAAAGCAACAAACCUAUUGCCCAACAACUCAAUAACCAUUUCGAAUUAAGAAAGCAUAAAACCACCUUUUCAAACAAGAAUAAACAAAGCUACAAACCCAUUAUCUGACACCUUAGGAACUAUUUCGAAUUAACAAAGAAUAAAUCCACCUUUUCAAACAAGAAUAAACAAAGCUACAAACCAUUUAUCCUACACCUCAGGUACAUUUCGAUUUCACAAAGCAUAAAUCCACAUUUUCAAACAAGAAUAAACAAAACCCACAUUCAACCUAUUCCAAUAAAUAAGUUCAGUAUGCAUUUGGAAUCAUCAAAAGCACAAAAAAAACUUACAAUAGGUAGGCAUCGUUUCGUCAGGAUCCUCGUGCACGUACCACCCCAUGUCGAACCCUUCGAUUUUUCUUCGAAGCUAAUGGAACUCAGAUGAAACCCCUUCCAACACCAACAAAGUCAGGGAAGUGAGUCGACAAGAUGAUUUGGGUUUUUCGUUGAAUUUCUAAUCUGAUUGUUCGAGAUUUGGAGUUGCUGGUAUGAGAACUAGGGUUAGGGUUCUUCUUUUUCUGGAAUUGGGAAUGAAAUUAGAUCGACAAGGUUUGGGUGUACCGGGGGGAAAACCAAUUCGAAUGGCACACUUUACAACGUACCCUUACUUUUUAAAUUUUAAUGGAAUAUCCACGUGUCAUCCGAUGAGAAAGCCACGUGUAUUGGGAAUGUUAGAUGGAUACCAUUUGUCGAGAAAACAUUGGGUGUGGUGCCACGUGGAAUCCAUUUGGGCAAGGAACUGGGCCCCGGAUAAAUCAACGUCAGCAUUUAACUGAGAAAUUCACGGACAAACUAACAGAGGUAUAACAUUGGAACAAAUUCUAAAGAUGAGGUAUGAUAUUGUAAAAUUUAAAAGAUGAGAUAUGAUAGUGUCGUGCGACUAAUAGUUGAGGUAGUUUUUUGUCAUUUACCCUAAAGUUUUUCGUAUUCACAUUCUGUAGUCCCCUACAACAUGAACGAAAAUUAUCUACUUUGUUUGAUUUCUAUAAAAAAAAUAAAUGAUUGUCUUAAUCAUGUAGUAGGUUUUUACAGAGUUUUUUUUUAAUUUUUUUAUAACUUUUAUUUGUAUACUAUUAGUUUUUUUUUUCUUUCAAAACUUCUUUUAAUAGUUUAAAACACUUAAAUUCUCGAUUUGAAGAAAAGCACUCCUAAAUCAAAUUGUUAUAUUGUAUACUAAACUAUUAUUGCAUUACAGGUUCAAUUUUUACCAAGGAAGAAUUUGAACUAUAUUAUUACUAGUUCAUUGUAAGGCUUAACCCACUCCCCCAUCAUUUUAGUGUAAAUAAUAUAGUUUGUUCAGAAAAAAAAAUUCUUUGAAUAUUUUUCACUAACAUUAUCAUCAAUUGUCCAAGUGCUUACAUUUAGUAUUUUUUAAUUUAUUUAUAUAGCUUUAAUUUAGAUUAGAAUAAGAAGUUCACUUUUAGUAUCUAUGGGAAAAAGGGGUUGAAAACAAAACAUGACCGCGUGCAAUAGAAUCGCAUUCAGUGUUGUCUUAUUAUUAGUCCAUAUUUUGCAAAACGCUAAAGAUUUUAUUUAUUUAUUUAUUUUUGGAACCAAAAAAAGCUUAAGAUUUUACAAACAAAAGAAAAGAAAAAGUGGAGAGAGAAACCCCAAGGAAUUGGUAUUUAAUUUGCACUUUGAUUCAUCUUUAAAUCAAACUCAUCAAUUUUCUUAGUUCAAUGAUGAGGCGAAAGUUUUCGACGUCAAAAUUCUAAUGAAGAAUAACGUGAACUAAAUCUAGUGGUUUUCUCCCCAAGAUUCGUCCAAAAGCAAGUAACUGACAUAAUUAAUUAACAACAUUAAUAUACAAUCGAUUAUCCUUGUAGACCUCUUGCCCUUUUCUCAUCAUGGGCGGAUGAAUUAUGAGGAAUGAUCUGUAAUGUCCUUAUGUCAUUGAGGAGGUGGAUUUGAACAAGGAAUAUUAAUUACAAAAUAUUUUUUUUUAUUAUUAAUUAACCAUUUAAGUUAGAAUAUCUUCAAAUGAGAUGUCAAGUUUUAAACAUAAAAUUUAAAUUUGAAAGCUUAUGUGGCACGUUGAUCUUUGUUAAAAUUUUGUUUCACAGCAACCAUAUUUGCUGGCAAUUAACGUCAUGCCACAUAAGAAUUGACAUUUUAGUUGGAAAACCAUCAUGUUGUCUUUUUACUGGUGUUUCUAAUAUGGAUUUUUUAACAUCUUCUUUGGAGGUGCUUUUAUAAGUUUAUAUAUUCAAAUAUGUCUCUAGGUCACACAAUCGUUGCGCAAAAAUAAUAGAAGAAAGUAUGAAGAAUAUAAUGCUGGUGUAUAUUGCAGGUGUGUUGGUGGAGUAGCCUUUUAAAGGCAUCGAAGAUCAUAUGUAAUUUCCUCAAAUUAAAUCAAAAUUUAAUCCAUUAAAUCUGAAGAUAAAACCUGAUAAAUGAAUAUAAUUUUUUAAAAAGGCUUAUUAUAUUGACAUCCAACAAAUUGUUGAAUAAACCUCACAUACUUAAUACACCCCACAUUUGCUUUUUGAAUGAAAACUUAUCUUAAUACACCCCACUUACUUCCCCAUAAUACCCUCACACCUCACAUUCUCAAUAUACACCUUGCAUUUUCUACAUACACCCCGUAUGUUCUAUAUACCCCACAUUUCUCAAAUCUUAUAAAGCUUUUAAUUUGGACAAAAAAUGCCGACUGAAAUUUUGACAAAAUAUGCCCCCUCGGAUUUAAAGCAUAUGUGGGUUGUUUUCAAUUCCACCAUUAAAAUUCAUGUCAUCUGUUUUUAAUAUUUGGUGGUAAUUUUAGAUGUUUAAUUCUUCAUGUAAUCCCUGUGAUCACUAGAAGAUGAAUACGAACAUAGAAACUUGAAUAAUGCAGCAAAAGCAAGAUUAAAUAAUUAUCGAUGUCACUAAAACAAUAAAAAUAUGAAGUCUUACCUCAUUUGAAGCUUCCGAAAAAUCGAUUUCGUGUUUCAUUCGUCAAAAAUAACUUCUCAAUCAACAUGUUCGUAGUUUCAUUGGUUAGAGUUUUGUUCAACAAUGGAGGGUUGGAGAGAUUUUGAUAGGUGAAGAAGAUACAUAAUACGUUAAAAAUGAUUUGGGGUGUAUUUAGAAUUUUUUUUAAACCUAAUAAUGUCAAAAUUAUCAUUGCAUAGUAGGAUAAAUAAAUCAUUUAAUAUUAAAUUUUAAUGUGAGAUGCAUUCAACAUUUUGUGGGAUGCUAAUAUAAAAAGCCUUUUAAGAAUUUAUGGGAGGAAUCUAACAUAUCUUUAUCGUAUACAUUUCAUAAUGAAAACUGUUAUUUUAUUAUUUGAAGGUCAUCCUUAUAUAUAUAUAUAUCAUUUGAUUUUGAGAUUAUUUAGUCAUCUAAAUGUAUCAAAUAAAUAGACAGUUCAUCACGAAUAUUUACUUAGCAUUCACACCGUUGAUUUGUUCCACACGUUUGAAUGAUUAAAUGAUCUCUAAUUAGAAUAAUUUUGUACAAAGAUGAUUUCCAAAUGAAAAUUAAAAAAUUGAAUGAUUCCGAUUAUAAAAUGAAUAAUGCUUGUGUUCCCUCAAUAAAAAACCUACUUACACAUUUUUACCAUACAAACAUUAUGGAAACCUGCUUAACAGACUCUAUCCGAUUUCAUAGUUAAUGCAGGAUAUAUAUUAGAUUGGCAUAUUAUUAUUUUUAAAAGUUAAAACUAUACGAUCCAAGAAAAUUCUAUUAGAUUUCGAUGCUAACUUAAGCAUGGAAGCAGCCCACGUGAAUGCAUGACGUCCGUCAGUAGAUUUGGUUUGUUAAAUAUUGGUUGUUGAUUUGAGGUGAGAAGUCUUCGAUUCCCAUUCUGUUUUAAACUGCUCAUGAUAUCUCCAAAUGGUAAUUAACUAAACAUUCCAAAUACGGAAACUUUUUUUUACCUGAAACACAAAGCACGUCAUUCAUAAUUUUAUAUAUUAAAAUAAUAAUAUUAAUUAAAAUAUUAAUUUUUCUAUUAUCAUUUAAAAGAAGUAAUAACACUACGUAGCUAACUUCUGAUAUAUACUGGAAAUUGCUCCACAAACACACACACACAAAAUAUCCAUGUCUUAAUAAGUAAAUAAAUCAAACUUGAAACAAUUUUGGAAAAUGCAAGAGCAACAGCUAAGCAUCUUUCCUUCCAUAUCAUUUUCAGGGCAAACUCCAAACAGAUAGGAAGUUUUGACGAAAAUAAAGAAUGAAAGUUAUAGUGGGGGCCAUCUAUGCACGCAACUGGAAACGUGGGCCAGCCAGCAACCAUGGGCGGGUUGGUCAAAGUCACUGAAAGACUCAAACAGGAGAGAGAGAAUGUUUUCUUUUACUUUUCCAUUUGGUUAGUGCAAAACGAAGACGGAGUAUUUUCGCUCAACAUCAUCAAGGGAUGAUAAUACUUAGUAUUUUGUUUAUUAUUAUUAGAUAAAUUUAAAUUUUGAAAAUUUUGUAGUAGAUAAACACGAAUGUUAAAAUUUAAACUAAUUUGAUGAUAAUAAAUAAAAUAAUGAGCAUUACUACUAUUUGAAAACGGUGAAAAUAAUGUACAAGAGAAGAUAAAGUAGAACAAAGCAAAAUGAUUGUAGCCCAUGAUUGGUCCAAACAAAGAUGGUGGGGUUACAUAGUUUAUCCUAUUUAGGAUUUUUUUUUAAAAAUCUUUUUCCUUUUAGAAUAUUAAUUUCCUUGUAAAAAUUCCUCAAGUAGAAAUUAAAUAACCUGGCCCUCCACUGUCACAAAUAUAUGCAUGUGUUUAAUUACUGCCAUGUUAUUUUGUACGUUUUGGGUCGUUGCUAGCUCUAUAAAUAGCGCGCGCACACACACCAAACUCCGCACCACAAGAACAAAUUAACCAAACACUUGUUGAGAGAGAGAGAGAGAGAGAGGAGAUAUAGUUUAGAGAGAGAAAUAGAGAAAUGGAGAACUUCCCAGUUAUCAACUUGGAGAGCCUCAAUGGUGAGGGAAGAAAAGCUACAAUGGAGAAAAUCAAAGAUGCCUGUGAGAACUGGGGUUUCUUUGAGGUAACCAUAAUUAAUUACGUUUCGUAAUUAGCUUCUUAAUUUCCAUAUGUUCAGUUCAUCUUUCUUUCUCUUAAAAAUUUCACAUUAUAAUUAACUUUUUGUGUUUUUCACAAAUACUGCAGCUGGUGAGUCAUGGGAUUCCAACUGAGUUUUUGGACACAGUGGAGAGGCUGACAAAAGAGCACUACCGGCAGUGUAUGGAGCAAAGGUUCAAGGAGUUGGUGGCCAGCAAAGGCCUUGAUGCCGUUCAGACAGAAGUCAACGAUAUGGAUUGGGAAAGCACUUUCUACUUGCGCCAUCUUCCUCAAUCCAACAUCUCUGAAGUCCCAGAUCUCAAGGAUGAGUACAGGUAUAGCAAUCACACAGUAGCACUCCCCUUUUAUCCCCUAUACUCGGGGAAGUAAAAAACGAGCGUGUGAAAAUCAUUAUCGUUACCCUGAAAUUAGUUGGUUUUCGAGUUUGAGGCAUAAUAUGCGAUUUCUGAUGAGGAAUUGUGAUGAGUAAUUUAUAUGUGCAGGAAUGUGAUGAAGGAGUUUGCAUUGAAACUGGAGAAAUUAGCAGAGCAGCUGCUGGGCUUGUUGUGUGAGAAUCUUGGACUGGAACAAGGGUACCUUACGAAGGCAUUUUAUGGAACAAAUGGACCAACUUUUGGCACCAAGGUUAGCAACUACCCUCCAUGUCCCAACAAUGACAAGAUCAAGGGUCUCCGGGCCCACACCGAUGCCGGCGGCCUCAUCUUGCUCUUCCAGGAUGACAAGGUCAGUGGCCUCCAGCUCCUCAAGGACGGAGAGUGGGUUGAUGUGCCUCCCAUGCGCCACUCCCUUGUUAUCAACCUUGGUGACCAACUUGAGGUAAUUAAAAGUUAAACCAAUUAACUCAACAACUUUGAUCUCCAGUGCGGUUAACUGCACUUCAUAAAGUUCUUCGAUUUUACUUACAUAUAUAAACAUACAACUUGAACUCCUAUAGGUGAUCACCAAUGGAAAGUACAAGAGUGUGGAGCACAGAGUGAUUGCCCAAACAGAUGGAACCAGAAUGUCAAUAGCUUCAUUCUACAACCCAAGCAGUGAUGCAGUGAUCUACCCAGCACCAACCCUAGUGGAGAAAAAGGCAGUGGAGAAGAAUCAAGUGUACCCGAAAUUCGUGUUUGAAGACUACAUGAAGCACUAUGUUGGUGUCAAGUUCCAGGCCAAGGAACCCAGAUUUGAAGCUAUGAAAGCAGUGGAAGUUAAGGCCAGUUUUGGUUUGAGUCCAGUUAAAACUACUGCUUGAGAGUGAUUAAGUAUUUAUACUAGAAGCUGCUGGAAAAAGGGUAUUUAGCUUAAAGUACGGGCGUGUGUGAAAAAAAUAUUUGGUUGAACUAGACUUCAAGAUCUCUGUCAAAAGAGACAAGUUUAUUUACUAUUAAUGUGGAAAUCGUUGUAGAAUGUAACCAAAGUCAUCACUACUUUAGUGACUUGAAGAUUUGUUGGUAAUUAAAUAAACAUUAUAUUAUCUGUUUUGCAUCGUAUUUUAUAUAGAACCAGUCAUUUUACGUUGUAGUUAACUGCAUUUGUAGAUAAUGCAUCGACAACAUAUUGAUAUUAUACGUGUUUGCAGUAUCAACGAGAUAAACGAUAGCGAAGUUAUAAAUGCAGACAUGCCAUCAACGUUUAAAAUUUAUAGUUAACCACAACGAAGAAAAAACUUUAUAUAGAACAAUACUGAAAAGAGAACGCAUGGAGCUAAGACUUAAGAGUGUAUAUCUAAUGUGCAGAUCCAUUAGCAGUAGCAUUCAAAGCCAGCUGUGCUUUAACUAAAUAGUCAGCAGAAUCUGUUAAUUUAUCACUUGUUGAUGUUUUCACCGUAGAAAAGGACUCUAAAUUCAGUGGGAAAAGGGAUGAAAGAGGCCGAGGGGAUAAGGCAGCAGCCAUGCCGACAUGGUGAACUCAAGCUAUAAAGUUUUCUAAUUAAAAGCAAGAGCAAGAUAUUUUUAAAAUCAUAAGCUACAAUAUAAAACAAUACAGGAGCUUUCAGGAUGGGAAAAAAGGGAUUGAGGUCCACUCCUUCAUCUCUAUGUCCCGGAAACGCACAGUGAGAGAUCCGAACCACUCAACUUCAAUUCUAUGGCUUCUAUUAGCACAUCUUAUUGACCCACUUCACAACAAUUUAAAAACUUGAAUGGCUCGAUCUCUUUCUCUCUCUUAAACAGUUUGAAUCUCUCAGUCCUCUGGCCACAAAGUUUUAGAGUGGAUAUCAUUCUGGAAAAAAAGUGUCACGAUUUACACUUGGUUUAUGAUUGAACAACUAAUUUAGGGUAAAGACCUUCCCAUUAGUGCCAAUCAUAUCAGGGAUUCAGAAUUGCAAUGGAAAAUAAGUGCUUUUGAAUUUAUUGAAGCCUGGAAUUGCACUACACAUUUUGAUACAUGGAGAGAAACUGUGUUCUAUAGAAUGAUAUCCUCCUAAACAACCAAUCAGUUAGAUUUGAGUUUAGUGUAAAGUUCUGCAAUUCACUGCAAAGUUCUGAAUCUUGAAGACAAGGUUAUGCAAUUCACUGCAAAGUUCUGAAUCUUUUGCAUCAUGUUCAGCAUCCUUAAUUAUAGUGGUAAACAUAUAGGUCUGUUGAACCGGUAUCAAACUAUAUGGACAAAGAUACUCAAAGGAGAUGAGUGUCUUAGUUGUAAAAAUGGUUUGGCUGUUUGUGCGUUAAACUCUUAAUAUAAUAGUAACCAAUCAUAAAAUACCCCACUUUGCCAAGAAUGCUCAUAAAGUGACCUAUUUUGGUAAGGAAUCAAAGACUUUUCCCUGCAGAGACUUGAGAUAAAUAGCCAGUCACAUGCUUAAUAAGAAUACCCAUCUAUCCAGUCGGUCAAAACUUCUACCCUACGCUUCGGUUCCGUCUAUCUAGUUAGUCACCUUCACUGGUUGCAUUGGACAACCCCGUCUAUCUAGUUGGUCGUCGUCUGUAGGUUGCCAACCCAAACUCGUCUAUUCAGUUGGAAUUUGUGCUGACGGUUAGUGAAUCAGUUAGUUUUCACAAAAGAGUGUGAAAGAGUUUCGCAUAGAGCAGUUGAUUUGUGUUGAGUUGAAGGUCCUCUUUACAUUGCCAGUCCUCUUGUAUUUAUUAGGAAUAAAUUGCUUGAUGCCCAAGAUUGUCAAGUUGUAGAGUUCCGAUAGUAUUGCAACUUCUCAGCAUAUUAUGUGAAUACACUUGGUAUUAUCUUUACAAAUCCUUUCCCAUUGAAACUCCAUCACUACCCAACCUCAGUUCUUCAACUCGAACUACGAUUCUAAACCUAGACUUAUAUAUGAUUAAUUCAACUUCACCAGAAGGCCAAUCCUGAUCUAGAUCAAUCCUAAUCUUCGAGCAAUCCUACUCUAGUUAGGACUCGAUCACAUCAGAAACCAACCCUGAUCUUUAAGAUCUUACUCCGCCAAGGGCUCGGCCAUCCAACAAUAAUACAUUACUGGGCCGAGACUCACAUCCUCCUUUCUGGAUUGAAAUCAAUUCAGGCCGAACUAAAAGUUCAUGCUCAAACAGUGUCAUUCUGUUUCACAUAUUUGUGGAGCCAAAAAUAAUUACAAGACGACAAGUGGAUUUUUGGAUAAAGAAGACAAAAAUACCCUUGAGGAAUAACAGGAUUCCUACGCAUGAGUAGUGGGUGGACAUCUUUCAACCGAGUCAAAAAUGCUCCAAAAAAUGUAACAAUUCAAAAUCCAUCUCAUCAAACCUUUUACAAGGUAAAUCCCAAAACCUAAUUUAUUCCAUAUAUCUUAUAUUUCAUUAUUUAGCUAAUCAAUUAGCUAAAUAAUAUAUUCCUUUCAUAUUUCCUAAAAUCUUUAAAAUCAUAAUAAUUGACUAAUUAAGGGAUUAAUUAUCUAACAAUCCCCUAAUUAUCAAUUAAAACACCCAUUCAACCCCAAAAACAAGUUAAAGGCCAGCCAUCCCUAUUAAAAAAGAAGUCCACCAUACUUUCUACCCUUUUUUAUCAUUUCCCCCUUUUAAUUACACUAAUUAGCUAGCCAAUUAAUUUCAUAACCACCAAAACAUUCCCUUUAUGUUUAAUUAGCCAAUUAAUCAUAAUAAAUUGGCUAAUUAAACCAAAAGUAAACCCAAAAACCCUACCUAAUGGCCGGCCACUCCUUCAAAGAGGACCGGCCUAUCCCUAUAAAUAGUCUCCCAUUUUCACCAAAAGAUCAUUCCAACACACUUGCAAAAUUCCCAAUACUCUCUAAACACUUUUUCUUCCUAAAUUCUAACUUUGGCAUUGGAGGUUUUUCGGCCUAAGCCCCCCAUUCAUUGUGGGCGUGUGAGGCUCUUGGCCUUAACUCUAAGGUGUUAAUUGUUUUGUAGGUGCAAUUUUGUCCAAGAUCAAGGAGGAAGAAAUUUGCAUCCACAAAUUGGUGCUUUCAUUGAGAGGUGAAAUCCAUACUCAUAGAAGACUCUCGCAUAAAAAGGUUUUUCUCUAUUUUCUAGUCCAUUUGAAUAUUUUUCGUACGUUCUUAUUAUUAGAAUUUUUUACUUGCAAAGGUUCUUUGAUAAAACGUAUAAGAAAAAUAUAAUGGCUAGAAAUUUAGAAAAUUCCAUAAGUGAAAAUUCCAAUACUCAAGAGAUGGGAUCACGGAGAUCCACGAGGAAAAAUGCGGUUGUAAGCAGAGUGACACCACCACUACAAGUUUCCACCAUGGCCCAAGCCAUGCCAUCCAAGCUUGCACGGGCUCGAGCCCAAGCCUCGCAUUCGCAUGCACCACGUAUUGAGCAGCUUGAUCCCGUAGCCCAGCCUGUUCCUGUGACCCAGCCUGCUCUUGUGAUCCAGCCUACUCCUGCAGCCUAGCCUGCUCUUAUGGCUUCCCAAGCAGCCCAAGCCGGCCCGAGACUAUCUCACCCAUCUGAACCAAUUGUCGAGCCGAUGGCAUUUACACCGUAUUUCUCCACGGAUCUGACAUUUCCCAAUUCAAAUCUCUUACCCGAAGUUUACUACCCUUCCAUUGCUCAAAGAUGUACUUUCCAUCCAAGCUCUUCCAAUCCAAAUGGCGAACAACAUUUGUCUCGACAAGUCGUAUAGUUGACGAGCGCUUUUGCACAACAAACAACCUUGGUGAAUCAACUUUUGCAACUUACCGAGAUCCAACGUGCCCUAGAUGAGGGGUCUCGAAGUAGGAUAAGGGCAGACGAGGAACCUCUCAAGCAGCAUCCUAGGAAACAGCCACUCAACUAACCACAAACCAAGCAUUCAGGCAGUGCACACUCUUGAUUGGGCCUCUGAGAUACCGUAUACCCCCGUCUUAAUGCGCGGAGGAGCGUGCACUCUCGACUAAGCCCACAGGAAAGUAUACUUUCAUGGUUGGGGCCACGCUUCGAUAAUCAACAUAAGUAGCCUUCUAGGCAAAGCGUUCAUUCUCGGUUAGGCCUGCAAGGAGCAUCAUCCAUAUCAUAUUGAAGCAUGCAGCCUGACGAACGGAAGGAAGCAGUCAUUCAAUCCGGCUCUAGUUCAACUGGUAGCCAGCAAAGAAAUCCCUUGCCUGCUAGGAACCUAUCUCAUACACCGCAACCACGACAUAGAUGAGCCGAGCGUGUAGAAGAGCAGCCUAGACCGACAGGUCAAGACCAGAGGCAGCCGAGAACUCCGUUACCCCAACAAAAGCAAAUCUAAGAAGAGGUAGAAAGACUUUUUAAUGAAUGGAUACAUGAUUUCCGACGCAACGAAAUGGCUGAUGAAGCACUAAGGUGGGAUAUGACCAACAUAAGUAGGUCAUUUUUCAUGGACGAGAUCGAACAGGCAGAGCCUCUAGCAAGUUUAGCAUGCUGCACUUCAUAUCUUUCAAAAGAGAUGAAGAUCCAGAAAGGCACUUGAAGCACUAUUGAAGCGCGAUGGUCCUUUAUUGGAACAAUGACGCCCUUAUGUGCAAAAUAUUCGCCAUCACUCUACAAGGCGAGGCACAAGAUUGGUUUCAUACCUUGCCAUCGCAAUCCAUCCAGAAUUUUGAUGAUCUUUCCUUGGUUUUCACCAAAGAAUACUCAUCUUAUCGUUCGAUCAAGAAAAAGUCUGAUCACUUGUUCAACGUAAAGAAAAACCCAAAUGAGUCACUUUGCAACUACGUGAAGAGAUUCAAAGCAGAGAAGGCAAAUAUCGUCUGGUGCGAUAACUCGAUAACAAAUGCAGCUUUCCAAAAAGGACUCCCAGUAGACCACCCACUGUUCAGAGAAAUGAUCAUGAAAGAAGACCUAACUCUAGCAUAUUCCUUUGCCUUGGCAGAGAAGCAUGCACUUUGGGACGAGGCUCAACAAGCAGAAAAUGCGCCCGAGCAGCCUCGAAAAGAGUCGAUAGCUGUUCAAAGGAAAGAGGACGGGAAGCAACCCAACAAGGGCAGGCAGAAAGUCAAGCGUAGGGACCGACCUACGACCAAAGAAGGCCUAAUAACCAAGAAUUAUUCUAAGUUCUCAAUUUCAAUUCAUCAAAUCCUUCAUGACAUCAAGAACGAACCAUGGUUCAAGUUGCCGAAAUAAUCAAAAGGAGAUACUUCCAAGUUGGACCACACCAAGUAUUGCGCAUUCCACCGAGGUCCUGGUCACACAACCUACGACUGCUACACUUGGAAGAACUACCUAGAGAAGCUCGUGAAAGAAGGCAAAGUCGAUAGAUACUUGGACAAGCCAGCUGUGCAACCAAGAAGGAAUGCAGAUGGUGAUGAAGAGCCGUCAACCAAGAUGAUUCGAAUCAAUGACAUUUUCGUCGAAUCCGAGCACUUGAGGGCCACUAAUAACUCUAAAAAGAGGAAAAUUCAACAGGCUUUACUAAUCUCACAAGUCCAAUCAGUCGAUACCCAACCUGGACCCAUUAUUGGCUUCACUGAGCAGGAUGUAGAAGGCGUCGAUUUCCCACAUGACGAUGCACUAGUAGUAUCUGUCCAAUUAGCCCAUGCUAUAGUCGACAAGAUGAUGGUUGACAAUGGAAGUGCAGUUAACUUAAUUCAACUCUUAGUCAUUCAGAAGAUGGGCCUGGAAAGCACAAUCAUACGUCGAGCAAAGGUACUUACCGAAUUCAACGGAUACACCUCAACUAUCAUCGGCCACAUCACACUUGAUGUGAAAACACCGCCUGUCGUCUCAAAGAAAACGUUCACGAUUGUAAGCGAUCCAUCUCCCUACAAUGGGAUUCUUAGGAGACCUUAGUUGAUCAAGCUGGAUGUUGUCACUUCUGUCAAGUAUCAAAAAAUCUGAUUUCGUAUCCGGGAAGGAGGAGUUGGAGAGAUCAAGUUUAACCAGGCUUCAUCUCGAUGAUGCACUGUGCAAAUGUUAAAAGAAUCAAAGAAUAAAACAUUUACCCCCGUAAAGGCUACCGAAGUCCAAAAGGACAAAGAGGCUACCAAAUAGCAAUUACAGCAGAUGGAUCGAGAAGAUGGCGCCCAAGUAGACGAGAUAGGAUGGAAACCUGAAGAGGAUGUCGAAUACAUCAUUCUUGAUCCCCAGCAGCCGGAAAAUACGGCUAAAAUUGGCUCACGACUAAGCCCAGACAAAAAGGAAGAACUCAUGACUUUUUUUAGAGAAAACCGAGACGUCUUCGCAUGGUCACCAUUCGACAUACCCGACAUUUACCCCAAGGUCGCUUGCCACAAGCUGCACGUCAACCCUACAGCCAAACCGGUAAUCCAAAAGAGAAGACAUUUCGCACCCGAACGAGUAGCGAUCAUUGAGGCGGAAAUCGACAAGCUAUUGGAGGUCGGAUUCAUAGAAGAAGUAGCACACUCGGCAUGGCUUGCCAAUGUCGUACUAGUCAUGAAGAAAGAGAAAGGAAAAUGGAGGGUUUGCAUAGACUACACCGACCUCAACAAAGCAUGCCCAAAGACCCCUAUCAUGUCCCCCGAAUCGAUCUAUUAGUAGAUUCAACUUCUAAGAACCAGUUGCUUAGUUUCUUAGACCCAUACUCUAGCUACAAGGCUAUAACCAAAUAGCCAUGUAAGAGCUCGACAAGGAGAAAACCGAGUUCGUGAUAGAGUGGGGCACCUACUGCUACAAGGUCAUGCCCUUUGGCCUCAAGAACGCAGGAGCCACUAACCAAAGACUAGUAAAUGUGAUGUUUAAGAAGCAAAUUGGGGUAACCAUGAAGGUCUAUGUUGACGAUAUCAUGGUAAAUGGCAAACAGCGAUCAGAUCACAUUCACAAUUUGGCAAAAACUUUAAAUAUCCUUAGAACGUACAAGAUGAAACUCAACCCUACCAAAUGCACGUUUGGAGUAUCUUCAGGCCGAUUCCUAGGGUACUUAGUAAUCCAACGAGGAAUUGAAGCAUAUCCUAAGAAAAUCCGAGCAAUCAUAGAGAUGAAGUCUCCUACUACCUUGAAGGAGAUCCAAAACUUGACUGGACGAGCAACUGCCUUCAACCGCUUCCUCUCACGAUCCAUCGAUCGAUGCAAGCCUUUUUUCAAAACUAUCAAGACGGCAUAAAGAGACAAAUGGGAUGAAGAGUGCGAAAAAAGCUUUCCAAGACUUGAACAAGUAUCUCACAUCACCUCCGUUACUAUCCAAGCCGGAAGCAACGGAGGAUUUAUACAUUUACUUAGCAGUCUCCGAAGUCGCAGUGAGCUCUGCCCUUAUACGAGAAGAGAUAGGGGCCCAACUACCGAUAUUCUACACUUCUAAAGCUCUUCUUGAUGCGGAAACAAGAUAUCCAAAGAUCGAAAAAUUAAUUUUAGCAUUAGUUGUUGCGGCUCGAAAUCUCAUACCAUACUUUCAAGCUCAUACAAUCAUUGUUAUGACUCAGUAUCCUCUACGAUCAAUCUUACAUGGUCUGAACGCUUCUUAACGAGUGAUGAAAUGGGCAUUGAAACUUGGCCAAUAUGGUUUAGUUUUUCGACCUCGCACAACGAUAAAGGCCCAAGCCUUAAUAGAUUUCAUAACAGAAUUUGCACCUAGCCUAGGUGAUGCAACAGAGCAGCCUAGCAAUACUUCAGAAGCCAAACACACCUUAGCCAUGCUUACACCUCAAGCGAAGAUUUCUGGCAUUUGCAUGUUGACGGCGCAUCCAACAACAAAGGUUCAGGAGCAGGCAUGGUCCUUGUUACUCCAGAUGGCUCAAUGCUCGAGCAGGUGAUCACUUUAGGCUUCAAAUCAUCCAAUAACGAAGCAGAGUACGAUACCUUACCAGCAGGCCUCCGAAUGGCAAAAGACUUGGUGGUUAAGAAGCUCGCAAUUCAUUCUAAUUCCCAACUAAUCACUAGCCAGGCUACUGGGGAAUACAUGACAAAACACCCAAGGAUGACACAAUACCUAGAGAAAAGAUGCCAGCAGCUUGAGGCAUUUCAGACUUACACUCUCACUCAAGUUCUGCGGGCAGACAACGCCCAUACAGAUGCGCUAGCUGGUUUAGGCUCCGCAUUUGACCACCAAUUUAAACGUUUCAUUCCGGUGGAAUAUCUAGACAAGCAAGCAUAGAGAUGGAGUCGACAGCCGAAGUGUCACAGGUUAGUGUAACUCCCAACUGACAAAGUUAUAUUAUAAACUACUUGGUCAGCGACACACUACCCAUAGAAAGAUUGAAGUCAAGAAAGCUCUAAAUCAAGGCGGCGCGCUACUAUAUAUGGAAUGGCAUUCUCGUCCGAAGAUCUUACAUCGAACCGCAUCUCCGCUGCCUAGCACCUCCUAAUGACUUGAAGGUUCUAAGCUCAAUCCAUGAAGGCGUUUGUGGGAAUCACUCCGGAGACUGAUCCUUAGCACAUAAGGCUCUUAACGCAAUCUACUACUGGCCUACCAUGCACCAAGAUGCUAUGGAGUUAGUACAAAAGUGCAAUCGCUGCCAACGUUACAAACUGGUACCAGCACUGCCUGCCAGCAAGCUACACCCGCAGAUGAGUUUUUGGCCAUUCAUGCAAUGGGCAAUUGACUUGGUAGGGCCUAUGCCGCCUGCUAUUGGGGGCAAAUGCAUGAUGAUCGUGGCAACCGACUACUUCACCAAAUGGAUAGACACAGAACCCAUGACGACCACGACUCAGACGGACAUAGAGCUCUUCAUAUGGAGGAACAUCAUUUGCUGAUUUGGCAUCUCUCAGUCCAUUGUCACCGACAACGGCCCGCAAUUUGUGGGAAAAGAUUUGGCAAAGUUCUUCCAAAAGUACGGCAUCAAACAACACAUAUCCACACCAAGAUAUCCUCAAGGCAAUGGGUAGGCCAAAACAUCAACAAGACGAUCCUCGACUGCCUCAAGAAAUCCAUCACUGACAAAAAGGGAAAAUGACCAGAUAAGCUCCUCAAAUGUUUAUGGGCAUAUUGCACCACCAACAAAUGAGCGACUGGUGAGACUCCUUUCUUUUUGGCAUUUGGUUCGGAAGAAAUCAUUUUUCCCAACAUCAUCGUGCCCAACAUCAACACUCUAUUGCCAAGCAUUGAGCAAAACAGUAAAGAGAUGGCCACAAACUUGGAUCUGGCAGAAGGACCAUUGCAGGAAUUGCACCCUCUGAAGGACCAACCAUGCUCUCCAAAGUGGGAGGAUAAACUCAACACUCUGAAUAUCCAGACGUGGAUGAGCCUGGCUGCCCUAGUAUAACUAGAUGCACGAUGGCUUGCGCUGGUAUUCUUAGAAGUAGCCACAAUGGUCUUUUUCAAGGCUUAGCUAGUUGAAGGAUUUUGGGUCUCUUGGCCUAAUUCGCAGGGAACUGGGCCCUAGAGACAUAAAGGGCACAUUACGUAGUACACCCUAUGGGUGGCUGCUUUGGAAACCUAAAACUGCUACGAAUUGCACUAAGGCAGCCUACGGAUUUUUAGAAGACUGCCUACGGCUUGCCCUUCAAGCAGUAAAACCACGCUAGGCUUAUACAAUCUCACAUUCUUGUGAAAGGUUAAACAAGCUAGCAUGCAUAUACGAAACUUUAUCCAUUGCCGACAUGUUACGUAGUCGAUAAGCUUCACCUCUGCCUGAAGGAAAAAUUUUGUCCUAGCUAAGAACAAGUAUGAACAUUUGAAUACAUAUGCAAGCUAUUAACACUUUAAAGUAGACAUGCAUCCAAAAACAAUUCAUAAAACCCAUGACUUUCAAAGCCUAGUAUAUGGUGAACCAAAAUAAACUCUUUAACAACAUUAAAGAGAAGUAAAGAUUUAGAAUUUCUUUACCCUUGAAGCUCAUCCUUGUUUACACAAGGGAUUCACCCAAGUGGAGGGCCUUCAAGUCACCUCCAAGCUCCUUGAAUCCUCCUUGUGUUUUCCUCCCUUUAGUGCUCCUUUGAUGAUUUGAGGAAAAAGGAUUUGUUCUCCAAAACACCAAAAGCUUGAUGUCUCUAAGUCUCUUCACCAAGGUUGUAUCUUGUGAAGAUGAUAUGGAUGACUUAGAGAGAUUUUAGAUGCUAGUAAAAAUCCUCUAAGUGGCCGGCCUCUAUGUAGAAAAUGAGAGAAAAAUGUUUCACCCAAUUUCUAUUAGAAAACCCUAAUGAGAAACAAAGCUAUAAAGAUGACUUUAUACUUCAUCUCUUAGGUUAGUGGCAAACUUGCAAUUAAGCAAAAUUUCCCACUACCCUUGCUAUGGCCGGCCUCCUUUUGUUAUUGGGCUAAAUGCCCAUAUUUGUUUUAGUUGUCAUACAACUUAGACAUAAUGGGCCUAGUGGACCAAAACAAUUUUGGACCCCGAAGCCCAAACUAACUUAAAAGCCCAAUACGAACCUUUCGUAUAAUUAAUUAACUAAUUAAUUAACUUUGACCAUUCUUCAAUUAAACCAUUUAAUUGCUUAUCCAUUUCAUAUAAUUUCUUCACUAACAUCCUUAUGUGGUGUGCGAUCCAUUAGGUUCCAAUUAGCGAGGCAGUGGGCGAUGUUACUCUUAACGAUCGAUUGUGAAUUGAAACCACAUUUCAAUUCUCCCUUAAGAUUAGUGUUUGCUAAUCUUCAGGGCUUCCACAAACCAUGAGUGACACCUAGCAGCAUAUCAUGGUUACCCAAGCUAAGUAGAAUUGAUUGGAGAACCUAUCCAGUUACAACUACAAUGCAAUACGGUCCUUCUCUAAUACAAUACUCUUAAUCACAUUGUUUAAGUGAUAGUUUGUUUCAUGUCUACUAUCCAAUGUGAUACUUUCCUAUAUGAUUCAUUUGAAUAUGAUUUGGAACAAACUUCCUAAGUCAUAUUCAUUUGCUUUGGCCAAAGACUUUAGAAUCAUAUCUUAGAGUAUUCUCCCUCCACCAUGGAAGGUUAGAGAUCCCUUGUUGUGCAUUCAUAUGCCUACAUGACUAGAUAGCUUGACCCCAACAAUGCCGUGGACAAUCCAAAGGAAUGCCAUUGACAUGAUCAAAGAUCAAGGACCUAACCAUUAGACAUCUAUGAUGCCUCAGGUCAAAGGACUACUUUGCAUAUUGUAACUUUAGAGUUCAUACAUGACAUGUAUGUUCGAACUCUCUUUUGAUCGUCGUUCAGUGUACUCGAUUACCUUUUUCGAGCACCUAUGUGUUUGUCUUAGUGUCCAACACCAAAUGACUUGAGACUAGUUCAUACUCACGUUUGAGUCAACAUAACACAUACUAACCUUAGCAGAUUGUCAAUGCCCAAUUGGCAAUCCUAUGGCUAGGAACGUUUUAGGAAUGAACAUAAGAGAAUGGUCUCGAUAAUCUAACUCACUUAGAUCACUUGUCUCUUAGAUCAAAUACAUCCCUUGGAUUCCCUUAUUGCUUAAACACAUGAUACAAUAAAUAGUGAUUAACAAUAAGCUUUGCCCUUCAUUAAACAUAUAAAAGUUUAAUACAAUAAGUAUUCCAAAAGCUAUUACAUCAAAUGAGUGGCUUUGUGGGCAUACUUCCAACACUGCUAAGCACAGAACAACUUACACCAAGUCCUAAAGUGUUGUGAUACUUGUUACACAACCUACGAAAUUGGAAAGAGCCAAGGUUAACAAACUAGUAGUUACGCGGAUUCGUCUGCUUAUGUAAGUAAGGCAUCCGGCUGCCAACCCUAUGGCUAACAACUCUGCAAGAGUUAUACACCAACACCUACGGCUGAGUAGGCUAUGCAGACCUAUCUGCUUAUAGAAAAGUAGCACGCUUGCCACUGGUCUAUAAGGUCUAAAGGUUAGGGCAUGAACAAAGAGAAGCGAAGAUGGAGAAAAGCAAAGGAAGCAAGUUUAUUAAAUUUUCUAGCAAAAUUGAUAAACAACUAGCAAACAUCGAAUGAGUUCAAGCAAAAGCAACAAAGGAAAACAAAGAAAAUCCUAAAGGCUACCUAGAAGACUACUCUUCAAAUAGUUUGGACAUCACACGAUUACUCGGUUACCACAUCUUCAGCAGCCUUGAUGUUUUCAGCAACGACAUUCUCCGGCACUUUACCAUCUGCUGCCCUAGCCUGGGCACCAACUUUUCCAACUACUUCACCGAUAGAAGACUCAAAAGUAAAAGAGAGCAAGUCUUCUUGAGAAAUAGAGAAGGUAUCGAAGUUUUUACUGGAAAACUCAAAGUCAGACGGUCGCCCAUAAAAAUGAUCUAUAUAACCCAGCUUGUAGAAAUCAGCUUGACUAUAACUAAGUAAAGCCUUGAACCCAACAUUCUCACCCUUCAACUGCUCAUUCUCCUCAAGCAGGUAAACACGAACCCUUGCAGCUCCUCAAUUUCUUUCUUCAGAUUGUCGUUGAUCUUCAAAGCACUUUGAAGUUCUAACACUUGAGGCUCAAGCCUAUCGACAACCUUUUUGAAAUGGAUCACUUGGUUGUAAGCAGCGAUCAAUUCUUCAUCCUUUGCAUAAGCAGCGGAGCGGAAUUCAGUAAUGGAACGCUCAAGAUCUUGAAUUUGAGGUAUGUAACCCUCGAUUUCCUUCUCUGCACUUUCGUACUUUACUUGGAUCGCAUCAAGCCUAGUCUUCAAAACCAUGAUCUCUUGGUAAGUCGCCUCAAGCUGCAGAGAAGUGGGGGCAGAAAUGUUAGAUCCCUUCAAAGUAGCAUGCUCAGAUUCCAAUUUCCUGAUUUUUUUUUACCGAUGAGUAAACUUCGGUAGCCAUGGUUCUUACCAUCUCUUUAGCAGCCUUGGUAUCUUUUUGCUCGAGGAACAUAGACUCGGUUACCAGAAUUGUUGUUUUCUACAUCAUGGCUAGCAGAGCAGUUUUCCUAUACUCGGAUGUAUGCUUCGCGAAAAGACUUAGACCAACAAUCGACGGCAUCAACAAACUUGGCACAUAUAUCCAUGUCUUCCUAUACUCGGAUAUGCUGCUUUUUUUUUUGUUGAAAACAACUCUCUAACAAAUCCCACUUGUGUUUUUUUUUUUUUGUAGAAUUUCCAUGCAUGUCUUCCUCGAGCCAUAAAAAUGAUGAUGAUGUGUCGCCGUUGUACCAUCAAGGUGGGUCUUUGAGCAAGGUUGGCAACUUCAAAGCUGCUCACUUCAAGAUUAGCUCCGAUGAUUUGUUUAGAGAUUUUCUUGAGGCGUACUGGCAUGCCAUUCCAUCGGGAGUACGUAUGAAGCAAGUUAAGGAUGGUAGCAGCCGGGAACCAUGCAGUGGAACUCGAAGAGCCAUCAAGUUCCACUCUUACUAUUUUGUGUUAGGGUUUACUUUCCCAAUGCCGUAUUUUUUCCAAGAAGUGCUUUGCUCCAUGAGAUGUGCCCUCGCCCAAUGUUCCUCGAACGCAGUCCAUAUGAUGGUGGGAUUCCACAAUCUAAGCCAAUUCUUUGACUUAAAUCUAACCGUCAACGAAUUUUGGUACUUCUUCGACAUAAGUCACAUUGACGGAGUUUGGCAACUGCGAUCUCGCCAUAAGCUUUUUGAUAACUCGAGCAAGGGAGAACAUGACUGGCUAAAGAAACUUUGGAGAUAAGUGGAGAAUGAGAGUCUGAUUCUUCCCCCGAGCUGCGUGUACCAACGGUCUUCAUAUCUGGUAAGUAGGCUGCUUAAUCUUCUCGGCUGCUUUGCUUUAGUGCCAAGUUACUCUUCAAUUUUCUGAUUGUCUCCCAUUGUUUUUUGUAGAUUCGAAAUUCGGAUCAACACCUAAGGUUUUUCCAGACAUGAAGAAAGUACAUGUCGUUCUGGGUAUCCCUUCCGAAUAUCGUGAGUGGCGUUGGCUGCUUAGUCCUAUUCGUAUAGAAAAAGUGGGCUGCCACCAAAAGAGGAGAUAAAAAGGAUCAAGGUUGAUGCGAUGGCUUGUCAUAUCAUAAUGAUGGAGCCCACUAUCAAUGAAGGUGGGAAAAAGAAACAUUCCCCGCCUGCUCAAGAGAUGCCUGUUGAAAGGAAACCGAAGACUGCUCGCAGAGAUUCUCCAGCUGCUCAAGAAAUACCUGUUGAGAAAAAACCGAAGAUUGCUUCCAAAGGAUUCUCAGUUUCCUUCUUAUCAGUAGACGAAUUGGUUGCAGCAGUGGAGAAAGCAAGUUUUGGCGCCACUUUAGCAGGCAGGGGCACCUUGUCACUUUUCAUAGUAGCAAGCCUCUCUAAAUGUGAGGUAGACUUAGCUCCAGACGAACACUUUGGAACAAACUUCAGCACCGGAGGCAUGGAGGAACUUUUGCACUGGGCAAUCCUUUCAGCAAUCGAGCUAGCAGCCUUUGGAGCAAUAGGCGUUACUGGCACAAAUCUAGCAGUUCUUUCUUUCUCGCCCUUAGAGGAAGUCAAGUCAAUUACAAACUUAGGAAUAGUUGAUGAACCCUCACGAGCAGCGGAAGCAAUCUUCGAUUUUUUCUGAACAGGUAUUUCUUGAGCAGUCGGAGAAUCCCUGCGAGCAGUCUUCGGUUUCCCUUCAGCAGGCAUCUCUUGAGCAGGCGGGGAAUGUUUCUUUUUCCCACCUUCAUUGAUAGCAGGCUUCAUCAUAGUGAUAGGACGAGCCAUCGCAUCUGCCUUGAUCCGUUUUAUAUCCUCUUUUGGGGGCAUCCCACUUUUUUCCUUACGAAGAUGACUAAGUAGCCAACUCCACUCAUGAUAUUUGAAAGGGAUACCCAGAGCGACAUGUACUUUCUUCAUGUCUGGAGAAACCUUAGGAGUUGAUCCGAAUUCCGAAUCUACAAAAAACAACGGAAGACAAUCAGAAAAUUGAAGAGUAACUUGGCACUAAAGCAAAGCAGCCGAGAAGAUUAAGCAGCCUGCUUACCAGAUAUGAAGACUGUUGGUACACGCAGCUCGGGGGAAGAAUCAGACUCCCAUUCUCCACUUAUCUCCAAAGUCUCUUUAGCCCAAUCAUGAUCUCCCUUGCUCAAGUUAUCAAAAAACUUAUGGCGAGAUCGCAAUUGCCCAACUCCGUCAAUGUGACCUAUGUCGAAGAAGUACCAAAAUUCGUUGACAGUUAGAUCUAAGUCAAAGAAUUGGCUUAGAUUGUGGAAUCCCACCAUCACACGGACCGCGUUCGGGGAACAUUGGGCGAUGGCACAUCUCAUGAAGCAAAUCAUUUCUUGGAAAAAACGCUGCAUAGGGAAAGUAAACCCUAACACAAAAUAGUAAGGGUGGAACUUGAUGGCUCUCCGAGUUCCACUGCAUGGUUCCUGGCUGCUACCAUCCUUAACUUGCUUCACACGCACUCCCGACGGAAUGACAUGCCAGUACGCCUCAAGAAAAUCUCUAAACAAAUCAUCGGAGUUAAUCUUGAAGUGAGCAGCUUUAAAGUAGCCAACCUUGCUCAAAGACCCGCCUUGACGGUACAACUGUGGCACACCAUCAUCAUUUUUGUGGCUCGAGGAAGACAUGCUUGAAAAUUCUACAAAAAAAAAAAAAAAGGCUUAAAAGCCUAGCCGCAAAACCCAAAAGGGCAUAAAGCCCUUCAGUUCUUUCCUAGGGCACGGGCCCAAAAAAAAAAAGGUGAAAGAAGCUCUCGGCCCAAAUUGACCAAAACAUAGGCUUUUUUUCCUUUUUCUCCCUGCACCAAACACGGGCCCAUGCCCAGCCUCACGGCCUAGCAAAAUUGCCAAGCCUCACGGCUUGGUCUAUUCCCCAGAUUUGAUCAACAGGGCACCCACGGCAGCCUCUGUUAUAAGCUCUCCAAGCGACUUCGACACCCCGUCGAGCCAUUCUCAAGCCUCGAGGCUUCCAAAAAAAAUCAAGAAGACAAGAAAAUUAAAUUUUUCUUACCUAGAAGCAACGAGAAGACGAAGCAAGCAACGAAAAACGAUCUUUUGCACGGGCAAGAUAUAGAAAAUUGCUAGAGGAAGGGAAAUAAAUAUCCUCUAAGCUCUCUCUCUUAUAGGGUAGAAUAAGUUUCUCUCUAAAAGUUGAUUUAAUAAUCCGCUUAAGGUGGACUUAAAUAAGCUUUGAGAGGAAUUUAUUUCAUUUUCCUAGAAUGAUCUAAUUUCCUAUUAAAAUAGAGAAUCACCGUCAAAAUAGGAAACAAUUCAAAGUUUCCCAAGACAAGAAAAUCUCUACACCUAUUACCCUUUUUUUUGCGAGCAGCCCAACAUGUGUGGGGGCAUUUGUGGAGCCAAAAAUAAUCACAAGGUAACACGUGGAUUUUUGGAUAAGAAGACAAAAAUACCCUUGAGGAACAACGGAAUUCUUACGCGCGAGUAGCGGGCGGACAUCUUUCAACCAAGUAAAAAAUGCUCGAAAAAAGGUAACAAUUCAAAAUCCGUCUUAUCAAAACCCUUUUACAAGGUAAAUCCCAAAACCUAAUUUAUUUCAUAUAUUUUCUAUUUCAUUAUUUAGCUAAUCAAUUAGCUAAAUAAUAUAUUCCUUUCAUAUUUCCUAAAAUCUUCCUUUAAAAUCAUAAUAAUUGACUAAUUAAGGGAUUAAUUACCUAAUCAAUCCCCUAAUUGUCAAUUAAAACACCCAUUCAACCCCAAAAACAAGUUAAAGGCAGGCCAUCCCCAUUCAAAAAGAAGUCCACCAUACUUUCUACCAUUUUUUAUCAUUUCUCCCUUUUAAUUACAUUAAUUAGCUAGCCAAUUAAUUUCAUAACCACCAAAACAUUCCCUUUAUGUUUAUGUUGACCCUAGAAACUACAAAGCCUACGUGGCGCGCAGGCCGAGUAAUUAAUGAGCUAACUACGUCCUUCGGUGAAUGCGGGGCGUGCCAACUCGUCGGCCGAGCUCGGCCGAGGAGUAAAUUUGUUGAUGUUGCGUUGGGUCGCGCUACUGACUUCUGCGUCUUGCGAUUGCGGCCGAGAAAGGAACACGUCUCGGCCUCUUGGGCUCUCGAACCUGAAGACAAGGUUACUAUUCUUACGAAGUUCAAUAUCAAAUUCGGCUUUCAAUGUGCCGAAUGUAAUAACUGUAACACCUCACUUCGCCGAAAAGGCUGAUGAGAUGACCUCGACCAAUAAGGAUUUAGAAACCCUUCUCGACCGAGACUUGGAUAGGUAAUCAAUCGUUCUCGCCGCAGUGCUGUUGAUGCCAACGGAAGAUACUGCGAGACCGACUGACUCUACAGUGACAGAGCUAUCUAUGCCGACUUAAGAUAUCACCGGUUGCUUCCACAGUGCUGUUGAUGCCAACGGAAGAUGUGUCAGCGAAAAAGGAAAAAGAAAAAUCACAAGUUGUGAGAAUUUGCGCAGGGCAAUUUUGUGUGUUGAAUUGGAGCCCUUCUCUGUUGCUGAAUGUCUUGUAUUUAUAGUAGCAGAACAUCGAGCCCGAGUUCCAAUCCUAUUCGGACUAGGUUUCCUUCUCCGGAUUAACAUCCCCUCGAUCAGUCCUAUCUCCGCUAGGACUACGAAUCUAGUCCUUAACUGAGCCGGAUUCGCUUUCUAGAUUAUUGAUCUCGUCGAGAGUCCCUAUUGUACUAAGACUCGACUUGCGUUCUGAUUUAACCGACUUAGGCUUGGAAGCCCAUGAGCUGAACGCUCCAUGACCCUUUCGCCGCACGGCUUCUCGGGCCGAGAGUGAUUCUACCCUCGGCCCAAACUAUUAUUUUGGGCCCAAACAGUUUAAUUAGCCAAUUAAUCAUAAUAAAUUGGCUAAUUAAACCAAAAUUAAACCCAAAAUCCCUACCUAAUGGCCGGCCACUCCUCCAAAGAGGACCGACCUAUCCCUAUAAAUAGUCUCCUAUUUUCACCAAAAGAUCAUUCCAACAUACUUGCAAAAUUCUCAAUACUCUCUAAACACUUUUUCUCUCUAAAUUCUAACUUUAGCAUCGGAGGCUCUUCGGCCAAAUCCCUCCCCAUUCAUCGUGGGCGCGUGAGGCUCUUGGCCUUGACCAUAAGGUGUUAAUUGUUUUGUAGGUGCAAUUUUGUCCAAGAUCAAGGAGAAAUAAAUUUGCAUCCACAAUAUUUUUUUUCCAGACAUUUCUUCACACAUUUCAUUCCCGUUUAAAAUAGCAUGCUUUUCGUCUAUCUUUAACACCAUAUAAAUAUAAAAAUAAAAAACUCAACAUAAUGAGAAGUUUCUUUUGAAACAAGAAAAUUAUCACCAAGAGUACGUUAAAAUAUAAACCAAUGCCCUGUUUGGAUAAUGACGAUAUGUAGUCCAACAUGUCUAUAAUAUAUAUGUUAUGACUCCACUGAGUUGCCCUCUAAGUUGAUACCGAUGAAGAAAUCACCGUGGUUGAUCUGCACUUUCCUUUCGAAGAGAGAGAACUAAUUUCAUUACUUGAACUGGAUUAAUUCCAGCUACAUAUAUAUAUAUAUAUGUAUAUGUAUAUAUAUAUCUAUAUAUCUAUAUAUAUAUCUAUAUAUCUAUAUAUAUAUAUAUAUAUAUAUAUAUAUAUAUAUAUAUAUAUAUAUAUAAACUAAUGCAGCUUAUGGCCUCAAGUUCCACGCCGAGGAACCAAGAUUUGAAACCAUGAAAGCAGCAGCUUAAACAAAGUUUUUGGUUCGACUAAGAUUUGACGGUCUCUCCUAAUUUGUAGAGAGUAACCAAAGUAAUCACUACUAAUUUAUAGUAAUAUAAUAUGACUUCAAGACCUGUAAAAAUAGAGAGACGAAAGAAGUUGAGGCCACAAGGCAGCAGCCGUGCUGACAUAUGCUGAGCAGCUUAAGUUUUUGGAAAGCAGGAAUAGGGGAUGAUUAGAAGCAUGAGCCAAAUAUAAAACAAUUAGAAGGGUGCUUUCAAGAUGGAAAAUGGGUAUCAUGAUGUACACUUGGUUUAAGGCUAAACUAGUUUAAUUAACAGCAUAAAGACCUUUCUAUUUGUGUCAAUGUUUCCAGGAUAUGUGACAAAGUUAAAGUAAGUGCUUUUGGCUUAACUGAAGCCGGGAAUGGCAGCUCAAACUACUUUCGGGGCAUGGAGAGAAAAAGUGUUUUAUGAUAUUCUUCUUUCGUAACGAGUUAAUGAUAAUUUUACAAGAUACAAACACUGUAAAACAUGAAACACUAUUAAGUCUAUUAUAUUUCACAUUUAGCUUUCAUUUACGCUAAUCAUCGAUUGCUUUAACAUUCAAUUAAUUAUUGUCCAUACAUUUGGCACAAUUGUUUGUAGCAAGAUCAUAGGAAAGGCUUCAACUUAUGGAAGUGGAACAAGAAUCUAAUAAGUAUCAAGUACAAGUAGAACCUCAAAAAAUAUAGUUUAAAAUCAAAGCUGUUUUUUUAGGUUUUAAUCAUGGUUGGAAACCUGAAAGCAUUCGGAAUCUAAGAAAGAUCAACACCGCAAAACAAUAAAAAAGGGCACUUUUCUGAUAAUUGUGUAGUCUAAAGUGAAGUUUAUUGAACCAAACAUUCAUAUAAAGUAGAAGUUUUGUACUAAUUUUAUGUCAUUAGACUUGAUUUUUACACCUUUAACCUUAAAAAAUAACAGCCAACUUGAACUUUUUUUUAGUUUCCUUCAAAAGUCCUUCAACAGUAAAGCGCUUUUUUUUCUUUUUCCUUUUAAAAAAGCGACUUUGUUUAUUUCACUAACAAAAUCACUUUUGUUGCAUAAGGACAAGCCCUCGUUGACAAUCUAAAAGCACUUUCAAGGGGAUUCGUUUGCAUUUACUUGAAGGUGGAGGGAGACUCAGAGAUCCUUAUUGAUAUAUUGUUAAUGUGAGUAUAAUAUUCAUAAGCUUGUGGAUGUCACUCUUCUCCCACAAAUUCACCUAAUGAUGCGAACCUUCGUAAUUUUAACUGUGUGAGAAGAUUUUGUUUGUAACUUUUUCCCUUUCUUAAGAUGUUUUAUUUACUUUACAUUCUGAGUAAAAGAAACUUGAAAUCAAGACUUGUUCCUUCCUCGAUCUUCUUUGUCAUUUGUUUUAGAAGGACUUGAUUAUUUUGAUCAUCGAUGUUGCUAUUCUGCUUGAACUAUAUACAUCUUUGCACAUACCACUAAUAAACUAACUCGUUUGGGUGCGGUUUUAAAAUGACUGAAACCAUUUUUGAUGAAAUUGUUUUUGAGUUACCAAAGCACUUGAAGUGCUUUUCCAGUAUUCCCUCGCAUUUUUACCAAUGAUUUAUUCUAAAAACACUUCCAUAAAAAGUGCGUUCAAUCAUUUUAAAACGAGCCUUAAUGUAUGCAUUGUAUUUUAUACAAACGUUUUUACUAAUAACAACUUUAAAGUUAAAGAUCAAUCAAGUAAGUUGCUGGAUAACAGAACAUGAAUACGCAGACAUUGUUUUGAUCAAAGAUUUUAGUUCUAAUCAUUCGAAGGAACAGCUCGAGAGGAGAAAUUAAAACUGAAAUCUUGAUUUGCAUUGGCAAGACGUAUUCGAUGUCAACUUAAACCUCUAAAUCGAGCUAACUACAAGUUUUCGAGAAGAAAUCCGGAUGCAUCUGCUGCCAUAAAUUGUUGAAUAAAUAUACCAAAAACACGGCAGAAGAAAAGAUCAUGAAAAAGUUGAGUAUCAAAGCACACAAAGUGAAAGUGAUAUUUUAUAUAAGGAUGCUUAUUAUUUUGAAUUUAAGGAAAAAUGAAGAAAAAAUUCCUUUUCCGCUGAAAUGCAUACCAGGAACUCAUCACCUUUCCCUAUUUUAUUUAUUCCAUAGUAGCUAGGAGAUUGGGACCUACGAUUGAUUCUCUUCUUCGACUAAAAGAAGAAGCAAAAGCCGUUCAAUAAUACGGGGCGACUUUACCUCUUGGAACAUGAAAAUGUCAUCGGCAGAUGUUUCAAACUGGAAACAUCAAACAUCUCCAUAAACCUCUGAUCCGCAACUCUCGCUUUCGCAGCUGCAAACCGCUGGUAUUCGUCAAAAACAGACGUGAGGCACCAUCUCUGCAAUUUUCUCAAGCACCCCACCAGACAACCCGUUCGAUGCUGAAAAAAUACGACCAAAGUAAGCAACCAUCUACAACGUAUAAUGCCAUUGAUUACUCAAAAUCAGGGUGUGAACGUAUAAGAAUCCAGUAGUGUACAUACCUUCCCUCGUUUACAAUGAAUUAAGACAGGGUGGUUCCUUACAUCUGCAUUGCAGACAAGUAAACUAAUGUAAGCCACAUUGCUGUAAUUCUGGUUCGGUAAGAAAUUAAGUGAAAUAUUGUCAAUUCUGUGUCGUACCGAGGACAACUUUUAGUGCUUCACGGAUUGUAUCAUCCGGGAUGUUUACAAAAGGCUCCUGAAUGCACAAUUCAAUUUUGAAGAUCAGUUCGUAUAUUGUUGAAUAAUUCAUGUUAAUAAGGAACUUUAUCAACAAUCAAACAAAGAAGUAAUUAAAGAUUUAAAUCCGUUUCAUCAUGUAACGAAAAUUAAAACGAAGACUGCCACUCGGACCAAAUGACAUUGAGAGAAGAAAUGUUUAUAUAUUUCAACAAAGAUUCUCAACUUAAGCACAUAACUUGGUGUAUAAAAAUUACUGCACGCCAAUCCAACCAUUGUCCUAGAGUGAGAUGGUACCAACUCCUAGAGCGAGAAGUACUUUCAUACAUCCCGAUGAUUUAUUGCAACUACAUUGGCAAAAACACAAACUCCCAAAGAUGUAUUAGAACACUGAUACUAGAAACCAUUUGAAAAAAUUGUCCAGAGUGCAUUUUAAACUUCACCUCAGAGAAUGAUACUCAAAGUAAGCAUACUUGAAUUUAAAACAAUUGGGAUGAGAUAAAAAUCAAUCUAGUGUUCCGAUAUGGUUUCUGCAAAGCUUCUUGCAAUUAGAACUGUAAGUAUCUCCAAUACAGAAGUUCAUUAGAACAGUUCAGUGUCAACAGACGGUAUCAACGAAAGGAAAUGAUUUUCACCCUCCCAUGUUCUCCUCAUUCACUCCCCUACUCGUUUCUAUCCGUUGAUUUCCCAUUGAUUAUUCAAUCCUAUGGCUAAAAACAAGAGGGAGGACAAGGGGAUAAAAGAGAGAGUACGGAUAUCAUUUCUCUUGACGAAAUACACAUCAUAUGUUUCCUUCAAUACCAAAAAGGGGCAAAACAUUAAUCAGUUUAGAUAAUUCAUCCAUUAAACAAUGGAAAGAAUAAACUCAUGUGAUUAAUGUACAUCCCACAAACAUAAGGUAGGAUUCCAUGAAAGAGUGUUUCAGUCUAUGUGAUAGAAACUCGUGGCCCUCUAGUUAGAUAUAUGCCAAAACAAUAACUGUCAUCCCAUCCAAAACCAAAACCAACAAACAAUACCCCACACAAAUAAAAUAAAAAAUCGUUAUUAACAAAAUUAUGUAAAAUAUAUAUAUAUAAGUUUUUUUAGCCAAAAUAGUCAUUGAAAUUUGUAUAACUCCUCACUUGGUCCUUAAGAUUCAAAAUCGAUAUAACUGGUCCUGACUUUGUCCAUUGUCAACCAUUUUGGUCAUUUUGUGAAAAAUCUCCGUUAAAUAAAGAAAAAAUUGACAAAAUAGCCCUAAUUUUUGUCAAAUCAGUUUGGCCCAUUGUUUAUUACAUUGAAGCUAUUUUUGUCAUUUUAGUCUUUAUUUAACAGAAUAUGAGGAGUUAUACCAAUCUCAGAGACUAUUUUGGCUAAAAUUUCUUAUAUAUAAUUAUUGAAGUUAUCAGACAAAAGGAACAACAACAAGAAGGACAUCCACAACAAAUGGCCAUUAUGACUCAACUAACAAAGCAUCUUGAUGAGGAUAAUGGAGUAUUAGUUAAACAUAAGGAAUAUAAGUACGACUGUAUGAGCCUCAUUCUCUUUGUCACUUGGUGAUCAAGGAUUUAUGGUCACCUAUUGUUGGAUUCGAUAUCAAGUGUUGAGAUAAAACUUUAAGAAUACGUUUAUUUAUUUUCCAUCCUUUAUAUCAAAUUUAUGGGUGAGUGACCAUACAUUCGUCUGUCACCAUAUAAGUAAUUAUGUACUACUUGAUUGAUUUAUUCAGCAAAUAUACACACACGUAUAUGUACCCCGAAAAUCAGGCAACUCACGAGUCUCCGAACCCUACUUCAUUGAUGAACGGUCCAAUCACUUUUCUUAUCUCUUGCUAUAGGCACCGAGUACAAAUCUUUCUCCCGAUAGUUUAGAUUAAAGACGGUCCAUUUACGAUGAUCAAUUUAAGUAGAAAAUUAAACAUAUGCCUAACGAGAUCCAGUCGAAUUGAGCAAUACACAUACCUUGUAGCCUUCAAUUCCAAACUGAAAAAGCUUAAUCCCGUUGGACUUUAAAAACUCCGUAUUCGGCUCUGGAUACGGCUCCGGACACAAACAUCUACAUACAUGUGUACAUAAUCACAUUAGGAUUACAUAAUUCAAAUCCAAAAAUUUAGAACAAUUGCACAUGAAAAUUUGGUGUAACGGCGACAGACUCCGCUUUAUUAGAGUAUGUUAUGAGUUCAAAUUUCAUAGACGACAAUUAUUAAAUAAAAAAUAAAUAUAUAACACUUUAAAUUAAUCAUACUUAUCUUUUUUUUAUUUUCCCGGAAAUGAAAUUAAUCAAACACUUACACACGCAUAUAUAUGCACACACAUGUACAUGAGCAGUAAACGAAUUUGCUUACAUGAUGGAGCGGAGGCCUAGAGUGUGGAGAAAGGAGAAGUUGGCGGGCUCCGGGAAGCCCGACCUGAAAAUGCCGUUAUCGACCAAGGAGAAGUUGAGCGGCGGAAUGAAGAGGUCGUCGGCGCAGUCGUCGGCGCCGGAGGUCUGCUUAUCCGGAGAGAGCUGGACGCCUCCACUUCCCGCGACAACUUCGAUUGUCCUGCACAUCUCGCUCUCGCUGUCGGUCUCUUGAUCCUCCGGAUGAUGAAGAUUAUUGAGCUCCAGUUUCAUGUCAGCUUAUCAAAAGAGUAGACGACUGACGAGGAGAGAGAGAGAGGCGUCGUUUUUAUAAAGGGCGAAAGUCGGGGCUUUUGGGGAUCGUUUCGGAUAUUCCUUGUAGCCUCUUGCCUUUUUUUUUUUUUUAAAAUUUUUUUUUGACAGACAGACAGUUGAAAAAUGGGGACCAGGAUCCUCUCCUGAGCAGAUGGAGAGGAUCCUCCUGACCAGGCCCAUCGGGCCGUUCAUUUUUUAUCCAACGGUUACAAACAGGGAGUUCCUCUAAAAGUUAUAAUAAUUAUAACCGUUGGAUAAAAAAUGAACGGCCCAAUGGGCCUGGUCAGGAGGAUCCCCUCCAUCUGCUCAGGAGAGGAUCCUGAUCCGAAAAAUGGAUCAGAAAAGGACGGAAGAGAGAAAGUCAGGUGGCGUAGACGAGCAAGAAACAGGUGUACUUUUUCUCGUUAAUUUUAAAGUAAAAUGUAAAAUAAAUAGUAUUAAAAUUGAUUUUUAAUGUAAAAAUGUGAUUUUUCGUUAAAAUAAAAAAUACCAGAAAUUUUUCAUUAAAAUUCUUAAUUUUUAAAUAGUAGUAAUGCUGAUCACCUUAUUUAUUAUUAAUUUUAUAUUUAAAUUUUUACGUUUAUGUCUAUCUAUGAUCAAAAUAUCAAAAUAAAACAUAGAUUUAGCCAUUUAAAUUUAUCUAACAAUGAUAAAUAGAUAGAGAGCACUGAGUACAAAUAUUCUGAUUUAUUAUUUUUUUGUACACUUGCAAGAUUUCGAGAGUUAUCUUUACAAACGUAAAGUUCAUUUUUUAACUUGGUAUUUCUAUCAUUCUUGUUUUUAUUUUAUUUUUUGUUCGUGCACUGUACGCUGAGUUAAUUUCUUGACCGAUCUUAAAUUCGGAGUGUGACAUCGUAUUUGGGCGCCACUCAUGGAAAGGGCGCGUAACAACCUUAAUUUCCUCUUUUUCCAAAUAAAUGCAAUUAUUUUCUUCCUUUUGUUAUGAACAUCUUAAUUAUUGAGUAGAUAGUCAAUUAUUGAUGUGAUCACAUGAUUUACCUAUGGCACAUCAAAGAAGAAUCGGCCGCUGAAAUUUAUUUUACUGAGUUUGUAAUUUGGUAUAAAAUUUGUAUUUCUUUUUUAUUCUAAGUGUGAACAGAUAUAAUAAAACAAACUACGAGAAAAUAAUUCAGCCUCUUAUUUAUAAAAGUUUGCUUACUUGAUAUGUGAUAUCUCAACAAUACAAUCAACAAAUGUGAUUUGAAUAAUCUUAUAUGUCGAGUACUCAACUUUGCUUAUUGAUUUACGUGCACGAAAGAAAUUGUUUUUGUUGAUGUAGAUUGGUUAUUUUCUUAAUUUAGGACAAUAUAUAUGAAAUGCAACGAAACACAAUUCCUCAUAACGUCUUUAACUAUAUGAUUAGUUUUACUGAUCACCCCAAAUUGGGCAUUUCCUUGCAUAAUUAUACCAUAAACCUCCAAUCAUAAUGAUUCUAAUGACUUGUUUAAUAUUCCAAAUGAUGAUCCAAUUGAAGCAUCAACCUCCGCCUCACAAACCCAGAAGAAUCAAAAGGGUUUUGCCACUUUGAAUAUUUUAAUAUCUUAUUGAAAAAAAUAAAAAAAGAGGGCAUGAAAAUGGUACAUUCUGAGGAAUAUGCUUACUGCCAUGAGUGAGAGACAAGAAGGUGGCAUCUUUGUAUCAUGGUGCCCAUGGGAAUGAGAGGCCGCGCGCCACGUCCUUUGUAUCAUGGUGCCCUUGUAAAAUCCCACCACCAGAAAAAAAAAAAAAAAAAAAAAAAAAAAAAAAAAAAUAUAUAUAUAUAUAUAUAAUAAUAAUAAAAAUUGAACCAGAAGGGCUCGCUCGCGUUCUCUGAUUACUCAUUGCUGACUUGGUUGCCUUGCUAGGUCUUCGACGUUGCUUUAUUAGAGCAAGUCCACCCCUAAAAAUGCGUUGUUACUCAACCCAUUUAAUCCAUUCAAAUGAAUAGUGAUUGAUCUCAAUGAAUAAUAAUUGGUCAAAUGAAUCUCCACUCCUAAAAAAUGCAAUGGCACAAAGUCUAAAAAAUGACCUGGCACAAAUGCAUCUUCAUCUCUAAAAAAUACGCUGGCACCCAGCCCAUUAAAAUAAUAUUAUUUUUUUUUUGCAAAAUAAUAAAAAAAUUAGUUUUAAUUUCUGAUAGAAUUUUUAACCAAUCUUGUCACGCCACGUGUCAUUAUCCGAAAGUACUAUUUUGUGGAUAGAUUUUCGAUAAGAUUUUCAACAAUCCCGACGCGCCACAUGUCACUAUCUGUUUAAAAUAAUUUAGCCAAUAUUUCGAUAAGUUUCCACGUAGCAAUUUUUUUCACGUAACAAUAUAUGAAAGCUUUGGUUGAAAGUGUUGAAAAUAUUGAAAUGUGGUGUAAGGUGAAAGAUGAUGGUUAGGUAUUUAUAGAAAAUAAUAAUCUUUUUUUUUUUCUGUAUUUUUAAACCAUUUUUAUUAAUUUUUAUUAAGUUAAUUAAUAUGGACCGUUGGAUAUGAAAAAGAUUCAAAUCCAACAGCCCAGAUUUGGACACGUGGCCAACUGUCAUAAUUCUGACUGUUUUUUUUCGUUUUUUGGGAUGAAAAUCGUGGACCGUUGAUCUUGGGAUCGGACGGCCCAGAACACGCCACGUCAUUAGUCAUUGGGUUUGAAUUUCAUUUUUAAAAAAAAAAACUAGCCGUUGGAAAUCCAACAGCUUAGAACAAGCCACGUGGCUUCUCCAGCUCUACUUUAAUAUGCCUGCAACAGCAGGCCCCGCCGCCUUUUUUCUAUUGGGAACGUGAGCCCAUGCGCUUAUGUUUCCCACGCGCCUAACGCAAAAAAAAAUUGGUAGUGCCUUGUGAUGUCAUGCUGACGCCAACGUGACGUCACAUAGGUCGGGACAUUGCUCAACACAUUUUGGGCCGGCCUACAAGCUGGCUUGGGCUGGGUGCCAACCUAUUUGGAUCAGCUAGAGGGUUUUUUAGGGAAGCCAGCCUAUUUUUGAGGCUUUGUGCCAGCCCACCCUAAUGGGGUGGAGUUGCUCUUAUGGCUAGUUUGAGGUGGCAGUGUUUUUUUUUUUAAACUGCUCCUGUUGCGUUGUAAGAAUACUGUGAAAUAAAAACAAUUAAGUAUUUGGUAAACUAUAGUGCUAAAAAUGCUUUUAGCAAAAAAAAAAUAAUAAUAAAGGUAGUAUUGUCAAUAUGAAAGUUUCAUUAAAAGUUACCAUUCACCUGCCUCUUAUGAGAUAAACACUUUUUAGAGAAAUAUAGUUAGAGUUGCUUCUAUUUUAGGCCCAUGAUUUUGAAAAAAAACACUUUUUUUUUUCUUUUACCAAACACAAUUUUUACUCCAACUUUUUUAAGAAGCUGCUUUUAAAAAAAUUUAUACAACUCCAAAUUAGGGCUGGGUUCGGUUGGCAAACCGUGCCAAAUUCCUUGUGCCACCUAACACCCACAUGUACAUAAUUACCGAAAAUCAGUUACCGCUAGCCAAUCAUCUUCUUGCGGUUGCCAACAAUUGGUUCAGCCAAAAUUAUUGGUUGGUUCGGUUGGUAAAUGGCACAACUGGUGGUUUCCACUUUUUCCUCGCUAUCUUCUAGUUCCAAGGGCUCAAUUUGAUUUCCAAAUUGGGGUGCUUGUUUGGUUGCAUUGUGUGGUUCAUUUUGGGUUAAUCCAUGUUGUGCACUAGCGGUUGAUUGGCUAGACUCUAUCAUCCUAAACAUAAGCAAUGCAUAUACAUUCAAAAUCAUAUAUAUGUACGUGUAUAUAUAGUAUCAGUAACCAUCAUGCUAUCAAUUUUGUUAACAAUAUUUUCUAUAUUUAUUAUGGCAUGAAUCAUAUACAUCUACAUAUAUUUUUUAAACCCUAAAACUAAGGAGUCAUUUAUUUUCUAAACCCUAAAACUGAGGAGUCAAGCAUGUAAAAAAUACCUAAAAUAUGUAAAUAGACAAAUAAUAUAUAUAUAUAUAUAUAUAUAUAUAUAUAUUGGUAGGUAUGGCAUACCGCCGGCAUACAAAAUCAAUUACCAAAGCCAUGUCAUUAAUUGUCGGUUCGGUAAAAUGCCAACCGAUUAUAAAAAAAAAUGCCAAAACUAUAUCAUAACAUUAUGAGCCGACUGGUAUGGUUCGGUCGGUAAAUCGGUUUAUGGCAAAAUUUCCCACCCCUACUCCAAAUUAGCUCUUAAUCUAUUCAAAUUAUAAUACUUGUUAAGUCGUGAUGAUAGUUAUUAUACAUUGACAUGUUACGUGGUAAUACAGUAUUGUGAGUAUAUGGAUUCUAUAAGAUGACGUUUAGAAUCUUGAUUAAUCAUAUUUUCUUAUAGGUUGGGUGUUGAUUUAAGUAAUUAAACUCUUAGAUACUCAACUAGUUUUGGUAAAAUGGGUUAAUUGAUGACGUUUAGAACUUCACAUGGUUUGAGGCUUUUGGAGCUUUUUAACUGAAUUAUUCAAGGGGAUUUCUAUGUAUAUGGUCAUUGCUGACAUUGGACUGAGUUUUUGUGAAUUUAAAAGUUAAUCCUGUAAAAAAAUAAAAAUAAAAUUUGCUUAACUUUUCAAGCUCCCUUUCAACUUUGGAUCAAAUAAUAGAGGCAUGAAUAUAUGAAAGAGUCAUGGAUCAAGUAGUCUAGCUACUGACGAUAUCUCAUUCGACUAGACCAAAUAACUACAUGUAAGCAUGUACAAACUGAAAGUCUUGAUGAAUUCUUUAAGUUUUAAGAUUGAGCGCUUGUUUGGAACUCAUUAUGUAAGAAAUAUUUAUAUGUUCAUAAGUGUUUUGAUAAAAGCGUUUCAUUAUAUCACAUUGAAAUUUUUAUUAAAAAUUCGCAUGGAAGUGUUUCUUAGUAUAUGGCAUGUAAUUCUCCAAAAAAAAUACUUAUACUACCAAUAAUCACUUCUUACUAAAAUGUCAAAUGCAGUCAUAAAGUGUUUUUAACCUUCUAAAAAGCAAUCAGAAACACAAACAUACUCUAAGGAUACACAAUAGCACACAAAGGCAUGAGUCUACUAUCCUCGAUCACUCUUUUAUUACCAGAAUAUUAUUACUACACUUUAGAGGCCAUAGCGUUUUAGCUCUUUUUUAAACCUUAACUAUUGCGUCUAAUUGUGCGAGUAUUUGAUCCACAACUUUACCUAAAUAACAUUCUAUCAUACCCGGACCACGUGUCUGUGCUGAUAGACACAAAAACACCCUCCCAUAGCCACCACCCACCUCCAUUGCAUAUAAUGACUCCACCUCUCUCACACCACACCCCCAUCGCCCGCCACCUACAGGUACAGCACCCAAGACCUUCUCCCUAAUAAGUUAGCCCCUCCAAAAAAGUAUGACCAGGACAUGACAUGGAAAUCAUCGAAGAUGACAUAUCCCACCAGACCAAUAGGGUACAUAUAUAUAAUUGAUUAUGGUUAUCACACCCUUAAUUAGUAGUAUGCAUGAGUUAUCACUGAUCAUUGGAAGAGUUUUUGUGGAUAUAUUUCCAACCUCUUUCAGCUCCACAAACUUAUGUAUAAUAAAUAUACAAUGAUUUUAAUCCACCCUAUCGUUUUCGAAGAAAGAUGCGUUGCGUGCUCAGCCAGCAUGAUCCAGGAUGAAUUGUCAAAACUAUUGAAAGAAGCAAAUGCCCAUUGGGACCAUCGAUGUUAUGUUUCCACUUUCCACUAGGGAUAAGGUACAACAAAGCGAUAGAUGUUGUCAUUCUUUCUAAGUAAACAUCAUAUUACUUUAAGUUUUUCUCCAAAGUUAGUAAACUCCUGGAUAAGUCAUGCAUCCUUGAUAAGUUUGAUAAGUCACUCUUAUACUUUCCUGUAGUACUGUGUUUAUAUUGCAAAGUGCUUAUAACUCAGCUAGCUAAAAAUAUUUAUCCAUGUACUUGAAGUCUUGAUCAGUUCGAUUCCUCCCCCCCUUGAUAUCACUAUUGCUUGUAUAAAAAAUUGCGUUUAUAUUUACGACGCCAUUCUAAAAUUUAAAGUUUGUAAUAGAAAGAUAACUAUAUGCAUAAACAUGUAACCACAAAUCUAUAAGACAAUCAUGCACUCGAGAUUUUAUGUUCAACUCUUGACUCGUGCCAUUAUCACUUUGUAUAAAACUAUAAGCAUGAAAUCCAAAUUUAAUUGUUGGUUAGCGUUAAUGGUCCUUUUAAUCUUGGACCCUCCCAUACGUGCAACUUAAAUUUGGCUGGUUUAUAUUGGACGGUACCAUUACCAAACAUACUAACUUUUAGGUCGGUUUUGGCACUAGCAUAAUUAAUAACUUGUUUAAUGUGAUUAGUGCAUUUAAGCUUUUGCUCUGGCCAAUCUGUUGGUAUAAUUAUGUCCACAAAUAAUAGUUGCCCUUCAAAUAAUUAUGUCCACAAAUAACGGCUACAAUAAUAUUGAUCGUCCAAAACAUCUUUGUUACUUUUAGUUUAUUUUAGAGAAUAAAUUUUUAGACUAUUGUAGACUACAUUAUUAUGUAACGGUUGAUGGUUGAACUUAUUCUUUAAAUCAUUAAAAAAAAUCCAACAAUCAACUACCACAUCAUGUAUUAUAUAAAAGAUGGUAUAAAAAUUUGGUUUUCCAAACAUUUUCCGUUCUCAAAUAUUGCUAGCUAGCUAGACCUCUCCCCAUAAUUAAGAAAAUGUUACAUUUCCUUCCGUCGCUAUCGUUUACACAGUCAAUAAAAUAGAUUGAAUUAGCUCCAAACAUGAAAGCUUUGUUUGACAUUUAAGAUUCAAUUAUUUUCAAGAGGUAGCUAGGUAGCAUACACGAAGUAUAAUUCAUUGGUUCAUAAAACAAAUUAACCAUUAUGCUGUCACCCAAUUCACUGACUGUUGAUAAUAUAUAUGUGGAGUAAUUAUGAUGAGAGGGGAUCUUGGGUGGGGAAGCCAAAUUAGGAACAUGUUAGGGGUUUGGACCAAACUGUUGGACAGGUUAAUUAGCAUAACAAAUUAGGAGGUGGUGGGAUGUGGAGUGUUGUUUGUGUCAAGGGUCAGACGAAUGAGGUGGUUUGGCUUUUGGACCUAAGACUUUCUCCUUUAUAAGGGCAUGCAAAGUCUCUUACAUUUUUGGUAUGCAACAACACUCAACAUCCUCGCACGCCCCUUACGAAUGGCAUGCACUUAUGGCUAUUAUGAUUGUAUUUACGUCCUCAUAAGAAGGAAUCAAAUUAUCAAUCAAUCAAAGUGCAAACGAAUAACGCGCAUUGAGUGCUAGGGUUUAGGGUUUAAUUUGCAUCGUAUGCACCAAAGAAGAUUAUGUAUGGGAACUACCUUCCUGCUUCAAAGUUCGAACCGCAAGACACGAAUCUCGUGCUUGUUAAACGAAUCACAAUCUGUUUGAACUUUGAACAAUACAUGUAAAUGGAGACCUAAAAUAUGACAAGAAACAAAUAAUGCGUGUUUGUCUAAACUCGAACAUGUCCAUAUUUUCUCAGCAUGCUAGUCCUCUCGAUCAAGCCAACCCUAAUUUUUUAAUACAUACAUUACAAGUUCAUAUAAUACAGUUACUAACAAACAACGUUUGAAACUUUGAAAACCCAGAAAAUUACGUAAAGGCAUGCAUGGUUGCGUAUGGCAUCUCUGCCCACCCAUGCUUUUUCAAAUGGAGAAUUUGUGUUACUUGUACGGACGCCAAGCUGGAUAGGUUGACCAUGGGAAAAAUGGGGAUGUGGCUACAUUAUUUUGUCAAGCAAGCAAUAAUUGGAGGGUUUGGGUGGUUUUGUGAGAAAUGUGACAGGUGACUUUUGAGUCUUGACUAUUUGUGUAUUACUUCGCCGAUCAAGUAUUGACUUGUUUGCGGAUAAGAAGCACAACCAACAACAUUUGGUUGGAUGGAGAAUAUUUUUAAUUACUCUCUUUGAUUUUUUUAUGUUGUAAAACUGUCAAUUUAGAUUUGGAAUCCAUGUGGAAAGAAUCUUGUGUGAAAGUCAAGUUCUCAUGGCAAUUCAAGUGGCUAUUAGAAACUCAUUAGUUACGUAUUGUAUCAACUAUCAAGUGCAAACGAAACAUCAUAGGAACAAAUUCUUGAUUAUUUCAAUUCAAUUUUCAAUAAGAUGAAAAUCAAUAGAAAUUCUCUUGCGUACAUUUUUAUUCAUGAAUGAACGAUUGAGAUUUAACUAAUUAAAUUUUUUUAUUAAAUCUCAACCGUUCACAUGUAAACAAAAUGUGCGACUGAGUAAAGCUCAUGAAAUUAUUGCCUGAUUAUUGUGGAAAGAGAUCCUCUUCGGAUCUCUUCCAUCAAGGCCAUCGGAUCAAGUGAUCCGGGCCUUUGAAAUUUUAUUCAACAGCCCAUCUGUUUUGAUCCUUUAAAAACUAUAAUAAUUUUUUGUCGUUAGAUAAAAUUUUAAAGGUCCGGAUCACUUGAUCUAGUGACCUUGGUGGAAGAGAUUUAGAGAUGAUGUCUUUCCGAUUAUUGUUUCUAUCAGGCCCACCUUGGAAGACAGCCUGCACAGAUCUUUGGUCUUGUAUUGUUGACACUGGCAGGAGCCCAUUGCAAACUUGAUGGUUUGUCAAAUUCCUCACAAACCACGAAUAGUUUUUUACAUGGAAUUAUUCAUAAACCAUGCAUCUAGGACCAACUCUAAAAGUUCACCCAAUAAGUAGCAUGAGGACAGACUCCUCAUAUUUCCAACCUAAGCAUAAUGCCAUAAUGCUAACGUUUUAGGUUUGAUUUAAAGAUAGUUGGGGUUCCAUCAUAAAAUCAAAUGGUAAUUUGGGAAGUAGCCUAACCUCUUAGAAGUCCUUACAAGUUCAACCUACUCUGAUACCGUGAAGAAAAUUGAGUUUUCACUAUAAAACCAUUUGGUAAUAUGAGGAGUAGUUCAACUUACUUAUAAGCCAUCCCUUCUCCCAUCAAUGUGAGAUUCAUUCUCGACAUAAUCAUGUCGUUCUUAAAUAUCGUUAUGAAAUUUCUUGAUACUACUAUUUAGAUAUAAUUUAAAGAUUGUCUAGGACUGCUUUUGUUGCAAAUAUUUUCGCUAAAGAAAAUAUAGUUUCCAUCGGACCCUAGCAUUACUCUUCCGCUUAUAAGUAUUUGAGUUUAAGCAUCGAGCUUAUGAAAGAUAUUUUCUUGCAGGAAUCCAUCAUGGACUUAUGACUGUUAACUUCUCCCGUAGUUGCCGUUGUUUCUAGGACUCCUAACUAACAACUCACAUGCAUACACUGUUGUAAAAAUCUCUGCCUAGGGUUGCCUAGUGUUAGGCUACUAGCCGCCCCCCCCCCCUCUUGAUUAGCCUCUAGGUGUUUAAAAAUUAAGAAAGUGCACUUAGACCUGCUACCUGCCUAGGCCGCCCAAAACCCUCCUAGGCACCCUUUUAAAUCACAACUCUCACUUCAAUAGAAAAUCGAUAACUUUCAUUUUGCAUUUUAUUUUUUCAAUAAAAUGUAAAAGACUUGUUGAAUACUUGGAUGGAUACUCAUUAUAUGUUUGUUCCCCAUGUUUUAAAUAUUUUCUAAUACUUUAUAAUCUACUUGUAAUUUUGUUUUGCAGUUUAUGUAUCUCAAUACAAUUAUGUGUUUUCUUAAGUAAAUAAAUAGACACAUAUUUAUACAAUAUAUAAUAAUUUACUUAAAUCAUCCUAGUCCGCCUAGGCUUCGCUUAGCCACCUAGGCACUAAACCCCAGCUUGCCACCUGACUAGUGCCUAGUGUUUUCUAGAUCCCUGCUUGCAUACAAUUCUAGCUCCACAGAUAUAUAGUAUAUGGGAUUGAAUUUGACACAAGAGUACGCUUUUGAUUAUCUGAGAAUACUAAAAGUCCAAUCAAUGACUGUCUUUGUUCUUUAUGAUCGCUUAAUUUGUUUUUAGUCUAGGUUUUUGUUUUUUUUAUUUUUUUUGAACAAACGAUAUUAUCUACACUAGGGGAUUUGGGAGUAAGCUAAACCUCACAGUGGGCUAUCAAUAAUGUUGUUUAAAUUUGUCUUUGGCUAGAAUCGAACCUAAGAUGUCAUGCCCUGAUCCCGACAUACGUCUAGGAUCAACACGUGAUGUCACCAAGUACCCGUAUAUCUAACAUACCCCGCCUUUGGGAUAUGGGCAAAGCACAACUCAAGAUUCGGAUUGUGUGGUAAUUUUUUGUAUACUUUAUGGCUACAUCUAAUCUCCUCGUUAGACUGCCUACGUACCCUAAAUAGGGAUCAAGCCAUUCGUAGUUCACCAUUUGUUAAACUCUGAACUUUUUGUAAAAUACUUUCUUGCAGAAAACAUAGAGUACCACAUUACACAUAAACCAUAAGCCAAACAAGAGUUGUCAUCAUGCCAUUCACACACACAUGUGCAUUCCAACACCAUUCCACAAUCACAUGAAUCAAUAACACAUACAAUACACCAAAAUGUACGGCUAAAGUGACACAAGUCGGCCAAAGCCUACAUCUUUGAAGAAUGUGAUUUCGAACCAUUCAACGAAAUCCAACAACAUCGGGUUUUGGACCACUCAAUGGAACCAAAAUACCAAGCGGGAUUUCAGACCACUCAAUGGAAUCCAAACCAGGACACGAUUCCUAACCACUCAACGGAAUCAUAAAGUACAAUGGAUAUUGGACCACUCAACGAAAUCCAAGGCAAGAUACGAUUUCGGUCCACUCAAAGGAAUUACGGAGCACAAGGGAUUAUGGACCACUCAACGGAAUGCAGAUGGAGCAGGGAACCAGACCACUCAACAGAACCCCAGCAGAACCCAGUUCUGAACCACUCAACGGAACUGAGCGGAAGUCCAAGAAACAUAACAACGGCUCGAAGAAACAAAACAUGAAUCAAGUGCUCAAUUUACAAAGGCUUAACGAAAUGAAACAAAGCACAAGCACUAAAUUUAGACGGGUCCACGAAGUGAGAAAUGAAACAAUAUCUAAGCAAAUAAAUCCCCAUGACAAUGGGUUAACGGUCCACUACUGGCCCUCGUAUUUCACAAAUAUUUCCAAUCCACAAAUUGAAUCACAUUUCAUAACAAUAGAUAGAUGGCCAAAUAUAAAAAUACAUUUUAAAAGAAAUCACAUUUAAGAAAACCAAGUCAUAUCCACAAAGAAUACUAAAUACGAAAACAAGGUAAUAACCAUAUCACAUAUAUUAAAGUCACUCACUAACCAAUGUAGGCCCACUAGACUUCACUUAGUCUCUAGUAGUACUAAUUUUAGUAUUUAUAACGAUUCGAGACAUGUUGACCAAAAGUCAACUCUCAGUCAAUGAUGAGGUUCACAACCCUACGUAAUUCGAUCCGAAAUAUCCAUCCAUGGAUUCCCAAUCCGUAAUUUCCCAAGAGUCUCAUUUAUCUUCUAGAACAAUAUCCUAAAAUUUUGGAACGAUCCAACGGUCAGAUCUUCGCCAAUUGCUAGAAUUAGGUGGCAGUCAACAAUUAGUUUUACAAACUUAAAAAUUCAAUUCAUCAAGAUCUAUACGUUGGAUUCCCGAUCUGUCAAUUUCUACUGUCCUCAAAUUUUACAUAUAAUAACAUAUUAAAGUUUGGUAACGAUCUAACAGUCGGAUUGUCGAUUGUUAUAAUGAUCAAGUGGCGGCCUCUAAUGAAAAUAUGUUCAAACGACGGGAUUUCAUCAAUUGGAUGUCACAUAUGAAAUCGGGGUAUCGAAUUUAGCUUAGAAAGAUAAAGUUGGCCCAUUGGUCACACGUCGCCGCAUGCAGUGGUUUUCGACAAACGGAAACCCAAUUUUCCGACGAACUCCAAAAUUUACAAAUUUUACAGGAUUGUAAAGCAUAACAAUGGGAAGAACUAUGUGGGCCAAAAUCCAAUUCGACCGGAAACACCUAAAAUCAUCCUCGAUCCGUCGGAAACCCUAGAAAUUGGUGUUCCUUGAUUCGUCGAAUUCGCAGCUCCGCUACCCCCAAACUUGUUUGGUUUAUGUUCUUGGAGUCAAGAGACGCCUGAGGGUGGUGGUGGUCGCGGAAAACCUUUCAGAAAUGCCAGAUUUUUCGCCUGCACCCACGAAGCCAUUGGCUUUGAUUUUCACGAAAAGACACAAAAUCAACUUGGGUUUUGGAUGGAAAUGGAAGAAUAGUUUAUGCUGAAUUGCUUCCGGGUGAUGGGUGGCUACGAAUCGACGGAAAAACCGCCUGAAAAGGCGUCAGAAAACAUGGUAAGAGUUGGGUCGCGCAGGAAACAGGUUUAGGUAUUUGGUAUUUCUUUUUUCUCUCCCUUCCCUCCUUUCUUUGUUUCCUCAUUGGGCAGCCCUCUCUCACAUUUCCCUCAUUUCUCUUCUCUUCUUCCUAUCAUAGCCACACACAUGGCACCACAAAUCAUUGCUCCAACAAAUCUGGAUCCUUCCAGAUAAUGGUUAUAUCUCAUUCUAAGCUUCGUUUGGCGAAUGGUUUUCGCCUACGUGCUCGUGAGGUCAAGCUCUGUCCAAAUAUGUAAAUAAAAGUGACAAAACAUAUAGGAAUUAACUACGUCCUCAAAAAGUUUGUUUAGUUCAUUAAGGGUGUUUUCCUCCUUUUACUUAUUGAAAAAAAAAAUUAUAUGCCGUAAUUAUAAACAUGUCGAAACUAAGAAUACGAAAUAUGUAAUUUUAAAGGCUUAUUAUAUUAACACGCCACAAAUUGUUGAAUAAACCCCACAUACUUAAUACACCCCACAUUUGCUUUUUCACUUAAAAAUUAUCUUAAUACACCCCACAUAUUUUCCCAUAAUACCCCCACACCCCACAUUCUCAAUAUGCAUCUUAUAUUUUGUACAUACAGUCCACAUCCAAGUAAAUGAGAAAAUCCAUAAAAUAAUUUAAUCUACUAAAGUUAAGAUCUUAUUCUAAUUUGGAUUUUUUGAGAUCAUUCUAAAGCAUGGCUUUUUUAUUGAGGAUUUGGCAGGCGGCUGUUGGCAGAAGAGACCCUAGAUCCCCACCCAAAAAGGAACAAAAAAACACAUACAUUAGGUCAUAAUUUACUCUCCAACUCAACAUAGUCCAACAAAGCAAGUCCAAUGCUAUAUCUCCAAUUUUGUACCCUAAAAGAUGAAUACGAAUAUAGAAGUUUAAAUAACGUAGCAAACGCAAGAUUAAAUAAUUAUCGAUGUCAUCGAAAUCACUAAAACAAUGAAAAAUAUGAAGUCUUACCUCAUGUGAAGCUUCCGAAACAUUGAUUUCGUGUUUCAUUCGUCAAAACAAUUUUUCUCAAUCAACAUGUUUGUAGUUUCAUUGGUUAUGGUUUUGUUCAACAAUGGAGGAUGAGAGGGUUUUGAUAGUUGAGCAGAUAAAUAAUACGCUAAAAGUGAUUUGGGGUGUAUUUAGAAUUUUUUUUUUUAAAACCUAAUAAGGUUUAAAUUGUCAUUGCAUAAUGGGGUAAAUAAGUUAUUUAAUAUUAAAUUUUAGUAUGGGGUACAUUCAACAUUUUUUGGGGUGUUAAUAUAAAAAGCCAUUUUAAAUAGUGAAAUCCGGGGACUGGAUUUCAUAUAAGACCUCUCACUCACAAAUGAAGAAGAAUACUACCAGCCCAUAGUACUAAGUGACCCAUUAUGAUUACAUAAUUGAUCAUGCUAAGCUCCGUUGAGCACGAUAUAAUUGAGCUAAUUACAUUUCAUAAACUUCAAUUUUGGAGUAAUUUUUAAAAUGGAUAAGGUACGUAGUUUUAAUUUUCUCAUAUGGCUCCAUAAGAUUUUGAAAUCGUAUCCAGUUUAUGACUGUGUGGUCCUUUAUUAAAUUGAUGACGUACGUGGCGAGUGCGAGCCUCGUUAAUGAGAACCAAUUGCUACAAAUCAAGUCCAAAUUGUGUAGGUGAGGCUUCUACGCAACCUAAAACUGUGACAUGACUACAAUUAACACAAGACAAUCAAAUAAAUAAAAUGUAUUAAACGAUACAAUUUUUAAAACCUCAAAAGUGCAUUAUAAAAAAUAUUGAAACCUAAUCUAUUUUGAAAACCAACUCAAACCUAAGAGCAAUUCCACCAUUGCUUAUUGCCUUGGGGAUAGGCAACCCAUUCCACUCUCCCCCCUCCCCAAAACACUCCAGCCCACUCGGGCAAUUGGACCCAAGGCGAGCCCGAUAAAGAAGUCAGGUAAUAAUCGCGUCCAGUGCCUUGCCUAUGUGGCAUAAGGCUGACGUCGUCAUGAUGUCAGUCACAAUUUAAAUUAUUAAAAAAAUUAUAGAAAUUAUAACAAACUAAUUAAAAAUAUAAAAAUUUAUAAUUUUUUUCUAUAAAUACCUAACCAUAUUCUUCCACUUUACACUACAUUUCAAUAUUUUCAAAUACUUUUAUCUAUUCUUUUAUUAUUAUAAUAUUUUAAUAUGAAUUGGAUCUAACGAAGGACAUGACACAGGACCGAGCACAAUGGCGUUCUAAGAUUCAUGUAGCCGAUCCCACUCAGUGACUUGGAUUUUCUAAGUCUCCAACCGAGAAGUUUUCCUCACUCAGGAAAUUAAGGGAACACUACCUCAACCUACAUGCUCCACUCACAAAGCUCCAACAAAAGAAAAUUCAAAGAACUUAGAGAAGAAGGCUUUGGUGUAUUUAACACAAUACGUUGAAAUGAAGGAAAGCUUAUUUAUUGAUAUCCCCGAUAAGCUACAAAUAUGUACAUAUACAUGAGUCAAAAUAAACAAACAAGAGAGAGCCUUCACAAAGGUUGCUUAGGAGAAGUCGCAGCAGUCGGUAGAGCCCCAGAAAGAGAAGGCACCGGAGGGGGAUCAUUCGGAGCCUCAAUACUGGACAGAACCCUAGAAGGAGGAGGCAUCAGAGGUUGAUCAUUUGGAGCUUCAUUACGCGGUACAGCCCCAGAAGACGAAGGCAAUAAAUGCCUUUGGAACAAACCCACAAAUCUCUGAUGAUCAAGUAAAACCUGACCAUCAGAUUCCUUCAUAUGGUCCAGCUUCCUCUUCAUGUUUGUAGCAUAGUCAUGUGCGAGACGGUGCAACUGUUUAUUCUCAUGCUUGAGCCCUCUAAUCUCCUGUUUGAGACUCAUCACUUCAGCCGCCAAUGAUUCAACUUGGCGGGUUCGAGCAAAUAGGCGUUGGGCCAUAUUAGACACAGAACCUGCACACUGAACACUGAGAGCCAGAGAAUCCUUAACAGCUAACUCAUCAGAUCGUUUGGAAAGUAGUCUGUUAUCUUUGGGAGUGAGAAGGUUCCUGGCCACCACCGCAGCGGUCAUAUCAUUCUUCAUAACGGAAUCCCCAACGGUAAGAGGACCAGUAGGGGAGACGAAGGAUGGGCGCCAUAUGUUGUCUGGAGAAGGCGGGGCUGCCUCUUCAACAAGGUUCAAGUCAAAACGACGGUCGGAGGGGCCAGACAUUUUCAAAGGUGUUGAAGAGAGAAGAGGUCGAACAAAAUCAAGAUCUUAGAAGUGUAAGAAUGGAGCUUCUACUGGUGGAGAUUCAAGUGUGCUUUGGAACUUAAUGCCAGCCCCUAUAAAAAAUCUGCACUCGACGGAGCUUCAGAAAUCGAAAGAGGUGCCUGCUCAGAAAUCGAAGAGGCGUUUUGCUUUCUCAAAAGCUGGGCUGCUCAGAGACCACGAGGGUCGAUCUCAGAAAUCGAAGAGGCGUCUGCUUUCUCAAAAGUUGGGCUGCUCAAAGACCACGAAGGCCGAUCUCAGAAAUCGAAGAGGCGCUUGCUUUCUCAAAAGUUGGGCUGCUCAGAGACCACGAGGGCCGAUCUCAGAAAUCGAAGAGGCACCUACUUUUCCAGCCUUGGCAGCACCUGUCACACGCACACUCAGCUUUGCGGAAAUUAUGGGCAUUCUGUCGAAGACUUCUGGUGAAGUAGAAAGCACAUGAGUCUUACUGUUCAAUCACUCACUUCCCACACGCAAUAGUAGCUCAUGUGUAUCACAGAUAACUUUGCCAAAGUUCUCUGCCAAAGUUGAGCACGUGAAGCUUGCAGCUUCCACUACAUCGCUCUGACCAAGACGGGUAAAAGAAUAGCAAAGAAACAGGACUAACAAAGUUUAGACACAUAAAUUUUGAAGGUCUAGCUAUCCCAUAUUAUUACCCACAAGGGUAAAGGAACAGUAUCACUGCUGGAUAAUUGGAAAGUCCCUGUGUGUCAACCUCUGUGCUUCGUGGCAAGGUAGACUAGCAAACAUGCCCAACCUUUACUCACAUUCGAGAAAACACUCCCAACAAGAUUGCUUGCUCCAAAAUCGAAGAGGCACCGUCCUCCGAAUCUCGAGAGCCAGACUCCCAACAUGACUACUUUCUCAAAAAUCGAAAAGAGGGUAAAGGAACAGUACCAUUGCUGGAUAAUUGGAAAGUCCCUGUGUGUCAACCUCUGUGCUUCGUGGCAAGGUAAACUAGCAAACAUGACCAACCUUUACUCACAUUCGAGAAAACACUCCCAACAAGAUUGCUUGCUCUAAAAUCGAAGAGGCACCGCCCUCCGAAUCUCGAGAGCCAGACUCCCAACAUGAUUACCUUCUCAAAAAUCGAAGAGAUACCGCUCUCCGAAUCUCGAGAGCCAGACCCCCAGCAGGAUUGCUUUCUCAAAAAUCGAAGAGACAUCGUUCUCCGAAUCUCGAGAGCCAGAUCCCUGAUAGGAUUGCUUGUUCGAAAACCGAAGAGGCAACACUUUCCCAACUACAAGAGCCGGAUCUCCUUGGAUAAAGCUGUCUGUAAUCUUCACACGCAACAUCAGCUUUCCACAUACCACAGACCACUUUUUCAAAGUGCUCUGACAGGGUAAAGGAAUAGCAUUACUACUUGUUGUUAAGGAGACUCCUAUAUAUGUCAACCUCCAUCCCCAACGGACAGACAGACCUGCAAAAAUG
rnacentral:lncRNA from 1 species